ACUCAUCAUCAGUUGGGCUUUUAGUUGUGAAUAACUAUUGGUAUAGUGGUGUCUAUAGCUAGUACUACUCCGCAUGGUCCUUUAAUACGGUCAUAAUCCUUGCCAGCUACUACCAGCUCAAAUGCUUUUAAUGUAGCACACAUUCACUAUUUGAGCACUGACAAAUCUGCCCGGCACUGACUGAAAUACCCGAGCCACGCUCAUACGAUUACCACCUCCAUUUUACUUGACAGCCCUAGAUAGAACCGGUGUGAUUCGUCUUUUUUUUUUCCUUGAGAUUUCACCACAUUGGCAUAUUUGAAAUCAUCUUGAAUUAAAUUUUUAGAAAUUAUAUCAUUAGAUCCAUCAUAAAAAAAAUACUUCCAUACUUAGUAUACGCUUGUUAUUACUCCCUCCAUUUCAGGUUAUAAAAUAUUUUGACUUUGGUCAAAGUCAAACUUUCAAGUUUGACCAAGUUUAUAUAAAAAAAUAGUAAUAUUUUCGACCGAAGAUAAAUUUAUUAUAAAAAUAUAUUUAAUUAUUAAUUUAAUAAAACUAAUUUGCUAAUUUAAAUAUUACCAUAUUUUUCAUAUUUGUCUAUAAACUUAGUUAAAUUUGAAGCAGUUUGACUUUGACCAAAGUCAAAACAUCUUAUAACAUGAAACGGAGGGAUUAUAUCCUAACACAACGUUGUAAAAUGUGCAAUGGUCAAAGCAAUAUCUUAGAAAUUGCACAAAAAAAAAAGAACGGAGGUAGUGCUAUUUUGUAUGAAUCAAAUUCAUUUAUCAUAUAUUGAUUCUACACCUAAUAAGUUUACACUAGAUAGAUGCUUUUCCUUGUGCCCGAGUGCCUCUGUUAUCUUGUACUGUAUGUUACUUUUAGUAUAAAUACUGCCAUCAUUCUCAAGUAAAGUCUUUGACCACUGCUUUUUUCCCUGAUUACUCUAUGUUGACUAAAGGAAUGGUAAUAAAAUAUUAACUGAAUAUUAUAAAGUAUUUACAUGAUAUAUUAGAUCCAAAAUUGAUAAGAAGCUCCUCCUUAGUAGAUACUCCAAAAGAAACUCUAGUUAUAUCUUUGCAGACUUAGGCCUGGUUUAGUUCUCCAAUUUUUUUUCCCUAAAACAUAACAUCGAAUCUUUGAACACAUGCAUGGAGCAUUAAAUAUAAAUUACAAAAACUAAUUGCACAGUUAGGGGGGAAAUCACGAGACGAAUCUUUUGAGCCUAAUUAGUCCAUAAUUAGCCAUAUGUGCUACAGUAAUCCACAUGUGCUAAUGACAGAUUAAUUAGGCUCAAAAGAUUUGUCUCGCGGUUUCCAAACGAGUUAUGAAAUUAUUUUUUCAUUCGUAUCCGAAAACCCCUUCGACAUCCGGUGAAAUAUCUGAUAUGACAUAUAAAAAAUUUCUUUUCACGAAACCGCGUUAUGAAAUUAGUUUUUUCAUUCGUAUCUGAAAACCUCUUUCGACAUCCGGUAAAAUAUCUGAUGUGACAUAUAAAAAUUUUCUUUUCACGAACUAAACAGGCCCUUAUAUGCUACACAUCACUAAGUUUUGGAAAACAGUUUGUUGGCUACCAUUAUUUUGUUGGAGUCUUGAAUGCAAGUUAGGAGGCACCUUUGGUUGGGCCCCAGUCCUUGGAAGUGAAUGGGCAGGGCAGGGUCGAAGUUAUGACGAGCUGGUAGGAUGCUUUCGGUUAUGGCCAGGCCAGCCGGUGACUCGAUCAGUCGAUCGCUCUCACUUGCUCGUGUCAUCAAAUACGGUUGGGCGAUUGGGCACACACAUUCAAUGAGCCGAACCGUAUUAUUAAACCGUAAAUGUUUUGCGUGAGCACACAUUUUCUUUUCGAAAAAUGUUUUGCGUGAGCACACAAACCACAACCUGCACUAUCCUUGCACGCACGAUGGAUUUGAGUCAAACAACCAAGUUUACCCGGUUCGCAUGCAUGAAAUUUCUUCGAUUUCACUUGUUACUUACAGUUUGUAAUCAGUUUGAUGCAUUAUGGUACUAGCUGGUGAUUUGUAAGCAAGGAUGUGAUUUUGCAUGGACAAUUGCUUGCAGGUGUCGAAGGCGGAGUUCAUCGAUCUGGCGAGGAAGUCGGGCAAGUUCGACGAGGAUAGCCUGGCGUUCCAGUCGCGGCUGCUGGCCAAGUCUGGCAUCGGCGACGAGUCCUACAUGCCGCGCUGCGUGUUCGAGCCGGGCACCAACUGCGCCACCAUGAAGGAAGGCCGCGCCGAGGCGUCCGCCGCCAUGUUCGCCGCGCUGGACGAGCUGUUCGACAAGUGCCGCGUCCGCCCCAAGGACGUCGGCGUGCUCGUCGUCAACUGCAGCCUCUUCAACCCGACGCCGUCGCUGUCCGCCAUGAUCGUCAACCACUACAAGAUGCGCGGGAACAUCCUCAGCUACAACCUCGGCGGCAUGGGGUGCAGCGCCGGCGUCAUCGCGGUGGACCUCGCCCGCGACAUGCUCCAGGCCAGCGGCGCGGGGCUCGCCGUCGUCGUCAGCACGGAGGCCGUCUCCUUCACCUGGUACGCCGGGAAGCGCCGCUCCAUGCUCAUCCCCAACGCCUUCUUCCGCGCCGGCUGCGCCGCCGUGCUGCUCUCCAACCGCCGCAGGGACUUCCACCGCGCCAAGUACCAGCUCGAGCACAUCGUGCGCACCCACAAGGGCGCCGACGACCGCAGCUUCCGGUCGGUGUACCAGGAGGAGGACGAGCAGCGGAUCAAGGGCCUGUCCAUCAGCCGCGACCUCGUGGAGGUCGGCGGCCACGCGCUCAAGACCAACAUCACCACCCUGGGCCCGCUCGUGCUUCCGUUCUCGGAGCAGAUCCUCUUCUUCGCCGGCGUGCUCUUCCGCCACCUGUUCCCGUCCAAGACCUCCGCCCCGCCGCCGCCGUCCGCCGACGGCGACGCCUCCGCCGCCGCUCCCUACAUCCCGGACUUCAAGCGCGCGUUCGAGCACUUCUGCAUGCACGCGGCGAGCCGCGACGUGCUGGAGCACCUGCAGGGCAACCUGGGCCUCCGCGACGGCGACCUGGAGGCGUCGCGCGCCGCGCUCCACCGCUUCGGCAACACGUCGAGCAGCAGCAUCUGGUACGAGCUGGCGUACCUGGAGGCCAAGGGCCGCGUCCGCCGCGGCGACCGCGUGUGGCAGCUCGCCUUCGGCUCCGGGUUCAAGUGCAACAGCGCCGUGUGGCGCGCCGUCCGCCGCGUGCGCCGCCCGGCGCGCAGCCCGUGGCUGGACUGCGUCGAGCAGUACCCGGCUCGCAUGAACGCUUAAGCUGCAGUGGUAAGUAUGCAGAGGCUAAUGAACGGAAAAUUACUGCAACGUCAAAAGACGGGAUCGGCAUGCGAUGCCGGUUAAGGUUCAAGCUUGAUUAAUUUGUGUUGGUGUAUUAGCAAGUCGGUUUAUGAGCCAUAGACUACCAUAAAAGUUGUGCGAGACAUGUGUACUGAACCAGUGUACGCGAGUUCGGUGAUAUGUGAACUUAUCUACGUUUGAUUCUAUUAUUUAUACUGUCAUAUGCUACUUGAAUUAACCUGGUGGCUGUUUAUUAAGUGUUGCUGCAAUGGACUGAUAGUUGUUCAAGUAUAUGUGUUUUAUUUGGUCCCUGGACUAGCAAGAUAGGGAGCAUAGCACACAUUUCCUUUUUUUAAUAGAGUAAUUUUUACAAAACUUAAUAUAUUUUUAUCAAACUAUCACAAAACUUCACAUUUAAGAUGUUGUAUUAUUAAAUUAUAGAUUUAACACUGAAUUUGUCACAAAACUAUUGAUUUAAGAUUAAGUAUUACAAAACCACAUAUUUAACAAUAAAAUUAUCAUAAAACUAUAAUGUUUAUAGUUAAAAUUCUUAGCACCAAUGUUAUGAUCAAGCUAUAAACGUCCAAGUUACAAGUUUAUAGCUCCUUGUCCCAUAUGCCUAUAAGAAUUAAAAGUAAGCUAAAAAUGUUAAAAUGGAAACGAGACGACUUGCCAUAAUACCAUAUGGCCCUAGCAUAUUUCCGUUCCAACCCCAAAAUAUUUUUGAAACUGAUGGACUUUCAAGUUUUAAUAAAAUUUUAGGAUGUCUCGCUAGUUUCUGCUUCAUUGAACAUGGGUGUAUGAGUACGAUGUUACGUAUGCAGUGACGUGUGUAUAUACGUUACCACGCAAUAAAAGAAAGACAACGUUGCAUCACCAACUUUACUAAGUUUUCGGCUAUUUUUACAGGUAAUUUGCCUUGGCACACAAUCCGAAUUUUCCUCCAAAGAAAAUCGCACACACAAUCCACUCACUCCGUCUCCAUUUUAAAAUAUCUGUCACUGUAAAUAUUCAUAUUUAAACUCUAAGCAUUUUUUUCUAAAAAAAGUACAAAUGUUUAAAGGAUUAUAUAUUUUGAAAGUACAUGAUACUGACAGUUGAGAUCGGACUAGAAACUUAGACUUUAUCCGCCAGCUCAUCAGACCCAUAAGCCCACCAACGGCUUUCCGGCCCAUAAUCCCUCUUGGACGGCAUAGACAGCUUUUGCUCUUUACGGCCCAACUACCCGAGUUGAGCCCAAGCGGCCCACCAAGCUGCCUCGCCCCACAACGAGGGGAGGCGGCUCUCGUGGCAAGCAGAGAGCGUUCGUCACUCGCAUCUCCUCCGCCUCCGGUAUCCAACCUCCCGCACCAAAUCCCAAUCCGGAUCCCCCACGCUAAACCCUAGCUUUAAACCCCCGAAUCCAACCAAUCCCCGCGCCGAUUCCCGCCAUUUCGCGCACCUCGUGCCAGGAUCUGCUCCUGGGCGGCGCUCUUUUAGAAAAAAACCUGGCAGAUUUCGACUUCUGCAAUGGAGCCCGUCGAUUUCGGUGGGGGCAAAGGUUAUGGAAGGAAUCUCUGUCUGAGCAACGAUCUGAUCCUUCUGGAGUAAGGUUUUGUGCUGGGUGGAUUUGGGAUUCGAUGUGGCUGGAGUUGAGCUCAUCUCGGGGAGAAGGGAUUCGGACGGUGUUUGAUCUUUCUGUCGUGAUUGCUUUGCUUCGGGUUUGCUCAGCGCUAGAAGAUUUGCUCGCAGAAUCCCGCGCGGAGUUUUGAAGAAAGCUUGGUAUUUCCUGGUUCGUUGUGGUUUGUAAGCGAUGCAGUUCGAGGACGGGGGAGAUGUUCAUGUUGGUGCCGGUGAGGGUGAAGAUGGUGGCAGGGUCACAGUGGAUGAGCUUACCAGGUGAAGAAUUUUUCUUUCUUUUUUAUUUUUACCGUAUCCUACAUUCAGCAGUUCAGCAUCGAGAUUUCAUAUGUGCAAUGUUUGGGUGAAAAGCUAACGUGCCAAGCUAGUUAUAACUGUAGCUAGGGCCUACCCUCCAUAAUAUAGUUUUUUUUUUUUGAAACCGUCCCUCCAUAAUAUAGUGACCUAGUAACGGACGAGACAUUUCAUAGUACAAUAAAUCUAACAUGCUCUUGUCUAGAUUUAUUGUACUAUGAAAUAUUGAAAUGUCUCAUCCAGUACUAAGUUGCUAUAUUAUUAGACGGAGGGAGUACGAGAUAUCACGAGAGAAGAGAGCUCUGGAUGUUAGUACUAUUUAGUACCCUUUUGCAGUUCUUUUCUUUUCCCAAUUCUAGUCUUCUGUAGUUAUGGUUAAGCGAGACCGGAUUCAAAUUUAGAAGAGUAACACUUCCUCAAGUCAGUAUUACUUGUCGUUUCAGACAGGGAAAUACUACUAAGUGCAAAUCAAUUCCACUACCUGAAACAUCAUAUAUUUCCGUCCGGAGGGAGUAGUAGCUGAUCAUCAAUGCCUUUUCUCAGAUCGGGUUAUGAAAGCAAUAAAAUUAUCAAAGGCUGUCUGUCGGUCCAUGCAUAUGGUGGAAUGUUAGUAUUGCACACUGACUACUUAGCAGGUUGGUGACUACUAUACUACUCAGUACUAUCAACAUUCAGCAGCAUGCUGGAAAUUGAUACAGAUCAUUUUCUCUUGAAUCAAGGACUCAAUUAUUCAUGGUAGUGAGACGAUUCCUAACUUUUAUGUUAUAGUUUUUCAGAUGUCUACGUUGUGGCAUCAGUGCAAAUGCGACGCCUCAUAUGCGCCGUGGACCAGAGGGACGGAGAACUUUAUGCAAUGCUUGUGGUAUAGCAUGGGCAAAGGUAUUCUAAUUGUUCUCCACCACUUCUUGUUUAUACUCGCUCCAAUUCCAAAUGUAAGUCGUUUUGGUUUUCUACAUGCAGGGAAAAGUGCGAAAAGUUAUUGAUUCUGAUACCCCCAUGGAUAAUGCCAUGUUUGCACAAAUGGUUCCAGAACUUAGCAUGGAAUUCGAUGACGAAGAUAAAGCAUAUGAGUUCUACAACAGGUACGCUGGACAUGUGGGAUUCAGUGUUCGUAAAAGUUCAUCGGACAAAUCAGCUGAAAACAUCACAAGGUCAAGAACCUUUGUAUGCUCGAGAGAAGGUUUUCGUAAGGACAAGAAAGGAGCUAAGGAAGUUAAAAGACCACGGCCAGAAACAAGAAUAGGGUGUCCUGCACGAAUGUCAAUUAAGAUUACAUCUGAUGGUAAAUAUCGUAUAUCUGAAUUCGUACCAGAUCAUAACCAUCAGCCAGCACCCCCAUCAACCAUGCAUAUGCUGAGGUCUCAGAGAGUACUCACUGAGCUGCAAACAACUGAAGCAGACUCCUCAGAAGAAUCAGCGACACCAUCAAGGUUUUCUAGUUGCUCUUUGGUGAAGCAAGCAGAAGUAAUUAGACAUACCAAUUUUCUCCCUGCAGAAUACAGGUGCUCUCUUUGUUCAAAGCGCAAGAAAAAUAUGCAACCUGGUGAUGCAGGAGUAACUGUAAAGUACCUGCAAAGCAUGCAGCUAAGCAACCCUUCUUUCUUUUAUGCUGUCCAGCUUGAUGAGGAUGACAAACUGACAAACAUUUUCUGGGCCGAUUCCAAAUCUAGAACCGACUUCAGCUACUACAGUGACGUGGUUUGUUUGGACACAACCUACAAGAUAAAUGAACAUAGCAGACCAUUAACACUAUUCCUUGGAGUGAACCACCACAAGCAAAUCUCCAUAUUUGGUGCUGCCUUGCUUUAUGAUGAAUCAGAAGAGUCUUUCAAGUGGCUAUUUGAUACAUUCAAGAUUGCUGCAAAUGGAAAGCAACCAAAAACAAUCUUGACAGAUUGGUCUAUGGCAGCAACUACGGCUUCUGCGAUAACAGCAGCAUGGCCUGGAACAGUUCAUCGCCUUUGUCCAUGGCAAGUGUACCAAAACUCUGUCAAGCACCUUAAUCACAUCUUUCAAGGCUCCAAAACAUUUGCAAAGGAUUUCGGAAAAUGCGUUUAUGACUACGAUGAUGAAGAGAACUUCUUGCUUGGAUGGAAUACUAUGCUAGAGAAGUAUGAUCUACGAAACAAUGAGUGGAUUAAAAAAAUAUUUGAUGAUCGUGAUAAAUGGUCUCCAGUAUACAAUCGCCAUGUAUUCACUGCAGAUAUAAAAAGUUCUUUGCAGUCGGAAAGUGUUAGAAAUGCCUUGAAGAAGUCCUUGAGUCCACAAUUUGACCUGUUAUCUUUCUUUAAGCACUAUGAAAGAAUGCUUGAUGAGUUUCGUUAUGCAGAGUUACAAGCUGAUUUUCAUGCAAGCCAAAGCUUCCCUAGAAUUCCUCCAUCCAAAAUGCUGAGACAGGCUGCUAACAUGUACACACCAGUGGUCUUUGAAAUUUUUCGCAGGGAGUUUGAGAUGUUUGUCGAUUCCGUGAUUUAUAGCUGUGGAGAGGAUGGAAAUGCAUUCGAAUAUAGAGUAGCAGUAACAGAUAGGCCUGGGGAACACUAUGUUAGGUUUGACUCUGGCGACUUAUCUGUUGUAUGCAGUUGUAAAAAAUUUGAAGCAAUGGGUAUCCAGUGUUGCCAUGUGUUGAAAGUUCUAGAUUUCAGAAAUAUAAAGGAGUUACCACAAAAAUAUUUCAUGAAAAGAUGGAAGAAGGAUGUCAAGUCUGCAAGUACAGGCAAUCAAGAACUUCUGAAUGGAGGAGUUUCACAAAUUCCCAGCUCUUAUUUGAAUGUUCCCGUGCCAUUUAUAGAUCCACAACAUGUGCAAUCAAAUAACGAGCUUAACCAUGUAAGUUGAUCAAAUAUAACUAUUCAUUAAGUUUAUUUUUUAUCCUUAGUAAAGGUUGAGGUUCAAUAUGCGUGAUCAACUACAGGACACUUCUGUUUCUAACUCCCACCAGCAGGCCCUUCAUGGAGGUGCACAGGGAAGUCAGGUAAGACCCCUUGGUAGAACUGAACUCACUUGUGCAAUACUUAAUUUCUAAAAGCAAUAUUGGUGCUUUUGCUCUUCUCAUAGUAUUUUGUAUGCACCGCCUUCUGAGGCAAGCAAUCCAUUAAGUUUGUAUGCACUCAAAUUUUGUUAGAAAAAUAUUCUCAAGAUCGCCACAUUCCAUGGUUGUAUACGAUUUGAGACCACUGGUGACAAAAGAAUACGCUCACAUCUUUUUGUGCAUUUCUGGCUUUUAGAUAUACAGAAGAUUAGUACUCCCUCCGUUUCACAAUGUAAGUCAUUCUAGCAUUUCCCACAUUCAUAUUGAUGUUAAUGAAUCUAGACAUAUAUAUCUAUCUAGAUUCAUUAAUAUCAAUAUGUAUGUGGGAAAUGCUAGAAUGACUUACAUUGUGGAACGGAGGAAGUAUCUAUUAAUUGGAACACUCAAUAUAAGUAAAUUAGACUCAUGAUUAUAUGGAAGAUUUUUUUAAUUUGCCUUUCUGACUUUUGGUUGUUUUACAGGGUUAUGCUCCCUUAGCAGGGAUUCAGCAGCAGCAGUUUAUUGGAAAUUUUCGCCUGAACCAUGAAACAGGUUUCUUAUGAAAAACAGAACUGGCGCUUUUGCCCUGUUCUUGUCUUCCAAAAACUUUUUUGCUCUGUUAUUCCAAAGACAAUGACACAAGACAUCGAAACAGUCUCUAGUCUCUACCUUUACAUCUCCCUUGUAAAUUCUAAUUCAUAUUUCGUAGCAUCACAAAUAUACAAGCUCAAUAGUUUUCAGGAAACUACGUUCAGAGUUUAAACGCUGUUGGACCUUGGAGGAAGUACCCGCUAAGACAUAAGUCUGAUUAUUGGCCUAAAAUAAGGUUGUAUUAUUAGCAUAUGUGAUGUAGUAUAUACAGACAUACAGUUCGUAGUUCUGGUGAUUUUGCAGAAGCUUUCAAUUGCUUCGCUGCCAAAUGGCCACUUCAACCAUGCACUCUUUUAAUCUAAUGCUCUCACUGUUUCCAAUUUUCAGUGUUGGCGUGGUGGAUUAUUUGAAUUUCCUUAUUAGGAUCUUCUAUUACUCUCAUAGUAGUACCACUGCUAGAAAAUGUUUUCUUAAAGAAAAAGGUACUUUCAGAAUGCUACAUGUUUUGGAUAGCCAUAUUUCCACAACCUGACUGACGUCUGUGGUUACUGAUUACCUAACCAGAUAAUCAAAUCCAUGUGCCUGCAUUACUCAAAGGAAGACGAUUUCCCACUGCUGAUGAACUAUGUUGUCUCCUUGCCAUUUGGAACAAGUUCAGUACAGAAGACAAUCAAACUAUUUUGCAGUCAGGUUUCAGCGUUGACGAGCGUACCAUUGUCUGAAUUACUCCACGUCUGCAAAAACAUAAUAUGAAAAAGAGAAGCACAACCACAACCACCUGACGAAACAAAACUGAAAUUUGAAGUACAGGUACUAGCAAAUACUUCUACUUCUCCUGUCCAAAUCAUCGUAUUACGCACUAUCACACACACACACACACACACACGAUCUACAGUACGCGGUAGAGAUCAAGAAAUGAGACGGCGUCAAAAUGGGAACAAAAGAUAGGAAUAAGAUAAGAAAAUGAUGUGUUGUUCAGUUCUUCGGUGAAGCUCUGAAGGAUGUUCUUGGAUUGCUCUCCUGGUCUGUCAUGGGUGUUUCUGACGAAUUUGAUGAUCGCUGUUCCUGAGACAAUCAAACAAAUUGCAGCCGAUGGAAAAGAUGGCCUUAAUAAGCUGUUAAUUCGUUGGCGUUGACAGCUUUGGUCACAUCAAAAUACCAUUUCAUCCCUUCCAGACUCUACAUGUUUACUGAUGAAUCCACAUCACAAAAAUACACAAACGCUACCUCCAAACCAAAUACAUGAAGCCUAACAAGUUUCUACCUCCAUUUGUCGAAGGUGUCGUUCUUUCUCUGUGUAUAUUUAGUUUAGACUAGGUAUGCAAUGACUCAAAAAUUGCCAUAGAUUUACUCCUGCAGAGAUGAACUGUAAAGAGAGUACAGCACAUAAUUAUCAGUUCAGAAAAAAAAGAAGAGUGAAUAAUCAAAUCAAGUUUUUUUUUCCUCUGAAAGCAAUGUCAGAUUUAUACCUCAAAGACACGAGCAGAUUGUCAGAUUUAAUAUAUAACGUCAUUAACUUUCUUGACAAACAUUUGGUCAUUUGUCUUAUUCAAAAUUUCCAUGCAAAUAUAAAAGUAUUUAAGUCACGCUUAAAUAAUAUUUGAUGAUAAAUCAAUUCACCACAAAAUAAAUAAUAAUUAAAUAUUUUUUUAAUAAAUUUCAGAAUACUACAACUUUAGUGAUAAAACUAUCGGUUUGCUAUAACAUUAACGAUAUUUUUUAGUUUGCUACAACAACAGUGUGUGAAAUUAUCACAAAACUGAAACUUUUACGUUAUUUGCUACAGUUGUCACCUAUAUAUACUGUAGUAGCAUAUAAUGUAAACAUUGUAGUAUUGUGAUAAGUUCUUACGUUAUUAUUGUAGCAAAUCGAUAGUUUUGUAACUAAAAUUGUAGUUUUCUGAAAUUUAAUCUAUUUUUUAAAAUAAGACGAAUGAUCAAAUGUAUAAAAAAAAUUAGCAACGUCACAUAUUAAAACCUGAAAGAAGUACUAGGAAUCCAUCAUAAAAAAAUCUUCACAAAGUCGAGAGGCUCAGAGCUCGCCCGGACACGGUCGGGCUGGCUAUCUCGCGCGAAACGAUCCAACGAAACAGCGCGCAGUGUCGAAUCCGAGGGCCGCCUCCCGCCGGUGCCGUCCAAAGCCGCGCGCAUCAGAAGCUACACCCUUUUUUAUCGAACACCACGCCCACCAGGUGCUCGCCACCGUGCGUGCAUGGACGACUUCUCCUUCUCCCACUCCGGCCCGCAAGGCGGCGGCCGCCACCGCCGGCGAGGUAGCCCCUACUCUGUCCCGGACAGCUCCACCUCCUUCGCCGCCGGGCUCCCCCCCUCCCCGCGCGGCGGCCCGCGGCGCCGGGAUGUGGUCGUCGACGACAUGUCGUGGCAGAGCUCAGUGUCCUGGCAGCCGGACACGUCGUGGGCGCAGCCCCACGGCCUCGGCGCCGCCGUCGGGCCCUGGGCGCCCGCCAGGAUGGGGAGCGCCGGCCGCCGUGGCCCCGCGCUGUUCCGGCGGACGGCGAGGGAGUACUACGUGUCGAGGCGGUCCGCCCGCCCGCGCUACCGCGACGUCUCCUCGUCGGCGCACAGGCCCGUCGCCGCCGCCGCCGGCGGCGGUGGCGGCAGGCGGCUGGAGCUGCAGAGCGUGGUGACCGACGCGAGCCGCGCCAUCGUCGUGGUGCCGAACACCUCCUUCGCCAGCAACGACGACAGCGUCGUCGUCGCCGACUCCGCCGUCUACUCCGCGCCCGGCCAUGACGCCGGCCGAGGAGGACGAGCCAUGGUGAGGUACAGCGACACCAACGCCGCCGCCGCCGCCUCCCGCGAGGUCUCCUUCUCGCGCGACAACCACGACCAGCUCUACGUCUCCGCGGCGCGGCGUGACCCGCCCAGCUUCGGCUACGACAUCAGCGUCGCGUCCUUCAGCGGCCAGAGCCGGUACGAGGACGCCGUCGGCGACUACGACGACGACGACGACGAGAUCGACGUGAGGGUCGGGAAGCCCGUCGGCGUCGCGGGGCUUUUCAAGUACUCGACGGCCAUGGACAUCGUCCUCCUCGUGCUCGGGUGCGUCGGCGCCAUGAUCAACGGCGGCUCGCUGCCAUGGUACUCCUACCUGUUCGGUAACUUCGUCAACAAGAUCGUCAACGUCGACAAGACGCAGAUGAUGAAGGACGUCAAGCAGGUCUCGCCGCGUGCAUCGCCAUGAUCAUUUCUUCGAUUUCUCAGCUUCGAUUCAAAUCCGAUCUUCUCAUCUUCGUUUCUUGUUCGAUGCCAGAUUAGUGUGUACAUGGCGUUCCUUGCUGCAGUUGUCGUCGUAGGAGCCUAUCUUGGUGAGCAUUUUUGCAAAUUAAUCAUGAAAAAGUUCAAUUCCUGGGAAUCUCUUGAAUCGAAUUAUGAGUUUCUAAUUAUGUGCGAUCAGAGAUCACCUGCUGGAGGAUCAUCGGCGAGAGGUCGGCGCUGCGGAUGCGGCGAGAGUACCUGAAGGCGGUGCUGAGGCAGGAGAUCGGAUUCUUCGACACGGAGGUGAGCACCGGCGAGGUGAUGCACAGCAUCUCCGGCGAUGUCGCCCAAAUCCAAGAAGUCAUGGGAGAGAAGGUAGAGCGCACACACAAAAUUUACCCCCAAACACAUAUGUUCAAAAGCUGACACAUGACUAAAAUCUUGUGCACAUUUUGUAAAGAUUCCAGGAUUCGUGCACCACGUCUUCACCUUCGUCUUCGGCUACGUGGUCGGCUUCGCCAAAUCGUGGAGGAUCGCUCUCGCCGUCUUCGCCGUCACGCCUGCCAUGAUGGCGUGCGGCAUGGCCUACAAGGCCAUCUAUGGCGGCCUCACCGCCAAGGAAGAGGUUUAGCAGCCGGCCACUCACUCUCUCGCUCUUAUACUGAAACCAAAUUUGAUGAAUUGAAAGUUUGAAACCAAUUUGAUGGAAUUUGGUAGGCAUCGUACCAGCGUGCCGGCGACGUGGCGCAGCAGGCGAUCAGCUCGAUCAGGACGGUGAUGUCGUUCGUCAUGGAGGAGCGGCUCGCCGGCGAGUACGCCGAGUGGCUGGACAAGGCGGCGCCGAUCGGCGUCAAGAUGGGGUUCGCCAAGGGCGCCGGCAUGGGGGUGAUCUACCUGGUGACCUACUCCCAGUGGGCGCUGGCGCUCUGGUACGGCUCCAGGCUCGUCGCCAACGGCGAGAUCAAGGGCGGCGACGCCAUCGCCUGCUUCUUCGGCGUCAUGGUCGGAGGAAGGCACGCACAUCAACCUCCUCGCACCGCUUCUUGUUGUCGUCAAUGGCGCCGGUCGCCGGAGUUUCGUGGUUGGUGUGGUGGUGAUCUCUGAUCUCGGAAUGGUUGUGUGUGUGUGCAGGGGCUUGGCGCUGACGCUGUCGUACAUGGCGCAGUUCGCGCAGGGCACGGUGGCGGCGGGGCGGGUGUUCGAGGUCAUCGACCGGGUGCCGGAGAUCGACGCGUACGGCGCCGGCGGGCGGGCGCUGCCGGCGGUGAAGGGGCGGAUGGAGUUCAAGGACGUGGAGUUCGCGUACCCGUCGCGGCCGGACGCCAUGGUGCUGUACAACCUCAACCUGGUCAUCCCCGCCGCCAAGACGCUGGCGCUCGUCGGCGUCAGCGGCGGCGGCAAGUCCACCAUGUUCGCGCUCAUCGAGCGCUUCUACGACCCGACUCGAGGUGAGAGGGAAUGGCCAUUGACGCGCACGCAGAGCACGACCAUGGCGAGAUCGUCGGUGAUCGAUGACGAAGCUUUUGCGUCCGUGGGGUGUGCAGGGUCGAUCACGUUGGACGGCCAUGACCUCGCGUCGCUGAACCUCCGGUGGCUCCGGUCGCAGAUCGGGCUCGUCGGGCAGGAGCCCGUCCUCUUCUCCACCUCCAUCAUCGAGAACGUCAUGAUGGGGAAGGAGAACGCCACGCGCCACGACGCCAUCUCGGCGUGCGCCAUGGCCAACGUCCACACCUUCGUCCUCGCCCUCCCCGACGGCUACGACACUCAGGUCACACUGACACACACAAACUAAUCAACCAUUAAUCUCACGGAUUAUCUGUUAAUUAAUCAUAGAUAAUAUAAUAUGUGUGUUAAUUAGGUUGGGGACCGUGGGGCCCAGCUGUCGGGGGGACAGAAGCAGCGGAUCGCGCUGGCGCGCGCCAUCAUCCGCGACCCGCGCAUCCUGCUGCUGGACGAGCCAACCAGCGCGCUGGACACCCAGUCGGAGGCCGUGGUGCAGCAGUCCAUCGACCGCCUCGCCGCCGGCCGCACCGUCGUCGUCAUCGCGCACCGCCUCGCCACCGUCCGCAACGCCGACACCAUCGCGGUGCUCGACCGCGGCGCCGUCGUCGAGUCCGGCCGCCACGCCGACCUCAUGGCCCGCCGCGGGCCCUACUCCGCGCUGGUCAGCCUCGCCUCCGACAGCGGCGGCGCCAGGCCAGACCUCGCCGGCGCUGCAGCGGCGUACACCAGCUUCACCGACGAGUCGGGGUACGACGUGUCGGUGUCCAAGUCGAGGUACGGCUUCCAGACGAUUCGAGAAGAGGAGGAGAAGAAGGAUUCGCAGGACGCCAAGGUGAGGGUCUCCGAGAUAUGGAGGCUGCAGCGGCGGGAAGGUCCAUUGCUGAUUUUGGGGUUCUUGAUGGGCAUACACGCCGGCGCGGUGUUCUCGGUGUUCCCGCUGCUGCUGGGCCAGGCGGUGGAGGUGUACUUCGACGCCGACACGGCGAGGAUGAAGCGGCAGGUGGAGUACCUGGCCAUGGCGGUGGUCGGCCUCGGCGUGGCCUGCAUCCUGACCAUGACGGGGCAGCAGGGGCUGUGCGGCUGGGCGGGCGCCCGGCUCACCAUGCGCGUCCGGGACCGCCUCUUCCGCGCCAUCAUGCGGCAGGAGCCCGCGUGGUUCGACGAGGAGGACAACGCGAUGGGCGUCCUGGUGACGCGGCUCGCGCGGGACGCCGUCGCGUUCCGCUCCAUGUUCGGCGACCGCUACGCCGUGCUGCUCAUGGCCGUCGGCUCGGCCGGCGUGGGGCUCGGCAUUUGCUUCGGGCUGGACUGGCGGCUCACGCUGGUGGCCACGGCGUGCACGCCGCUGACGCUCGGCGCCAGCUACCUCAACCUGCUCAUCAACGUGGGCGCCAGGUCCGACGACGGCGCGUACGCCCGCGCCAGCGGCAUCGCCGCCGGCGCCGUGUCGAACGUGCGCACCGUCGCGGCGCUCUGCGCCCAGGGCAGCGUCGUCGGCACGUUCAACCGCGCGCUGGACGGGCCGGCGGCCAAGGCCAGCCGGAGAUCGCAGCUCAUGGGCGUCAUCCUCGGGCUCUCCCAGGGCGCCAUGUACGGCGCCUACACGGCGACGCUCUGCGCCGGCGCCCACUUCAUCAACAAUGGCGUGUCCACCUUCGGCGACGUGUCCAAGAUCUUCCUCAUCCUCGUCCUCAGCUCCUUCUCCGUCGGCCAGCUCGCCGGCCUCGCCCCUGACACCUCCGGCGCCCCGGCGGCCAUCGCCGGCAUACUAACCAUCCUCAAGCGACGUCCGGCGAUCACCGGAGACUCCACCAAGCGAAGGAUCACGAUCAAGGACGGGAAGCCCAUCGACGUGGAGCUCCGGAAGGUGACGUUCGCGUACCCGUCGCGGCCGGAGGUGACGGUGCUGAGCGGCUUCUCGCUGCGGGUGAAGGCCGGCACGACGGUGGCGGUGGUCGGCGCGAGCGGGAGCGGGAAGUCGACGGUGGUGUGGCUGGUGCAGCGGUUCUACGACCCGGGCGACGGGAAGGUGGUGGUCGGCGGCGUGGACGCGCGGGAGCUUGACCUCAAGUGGCUCCGCGGCGAGUGCGCCAUGGUGGGCCAGGAGCCGGCCCUCUUCAGCGGGUCCAUCCGAGACAACAUCGGGUUCGGCAACCCAAAGGCCUCGUGGGCCGAAAUCGAGGAGGCCGCCAAGGAGGCCAACAUCCACAAGUUCAUCUCCGCCCUCCCCCAAGGCUACGAAACCCAGGUUAACUACUAAAAAUUUCAAAUCUAAGCAUUCAAAUAUCUUCAUAAAUUAUAGAGUACAUUCCAUAAAACAUCCAAGUUACGUAAAAAAAUAAAUUAUCCAAGUUAUAUAAAACCGUAAAUAUUUUGACACGUGACACAUAACCCUAAAUACUAUGGUACUAAUAUUUGAUAAAACCACACCGUUAACCAUUUCUGAUACAAUCCUAUAUCAAAAUUUUAAAAUGCAGGUGUAACAUUUAUAUGAUGGAUAGAAUCCUUAUAAAAUUGAUAUGUGAUUGUAGAAUUAAAUAGUGUGGUUUUGUGAAACUUAAUCAUGAUACGUGAAGUUCUAUGCCAUAUGCCAAAAUCUAUGAAGUUUUGUGUAAUUUGGACCAUAAUACGUGUGGUUUGUAAAAUUUACUCUAAACUACCAUUUUGAAAUGAUUAUUGGGUGAAUUUCAGUUGAAUUGUUGAACUAAAAUUUCUUUGUUUUGCUUAGGUUGGGGAGAGUGGGGUGCAGUUGUCAGGUGGGCAGAAGCAGAGGAUCGCGAUCGCGCGGGCGAUCGUGAAGCAGGCGAGGAUACUGCUGCUGGACGAGGCGAGCAGCGCGCUGGACCUGGAGUCCGAGCGGCACGUGCAGGAGGCCCUGAGGAGGGCCUCGCGGCGCGCCACGGCGAUCACCGUGGCGCACCGCCUCUCCACCGUGCGCGACGCCGACCGCAUCGCCGUCGUCAGCGCCGGCAGGGUCGUCGAGUUCGGCGGCCAUGACGCCCUCCUCGCCGGCCACGGCGACGGCCUCUACGCUGCCAUGGUGAAGGCGGAGACGGAGGCACAAGCGUUCAAGUAAAAAAAAAAAAAAGGUUAUCUCGUUGCUGGGGGAUUUGCAAUUAUAACACUGCAAAUAUUAAUCUUUGUUAUAAUGAUACUAGACCCAUAUUUCAUAGAUACAGAUGGGUCCAUUUAUCAUCCACUCGAAAUGUCAAAACAGUAAAGCCCCAAUGUUUGCAGUGUGCUAAGUAAUUUGGAUACUAUGACAUAUUUUUUUGGUUUUAAUUAGUGACUUGGGAUAUGCUGAUUAAGUGAUGAUUGUUCCACUAUAUGUGUCAAUAUAUAAAUGACGGAUAUUAUGCCGUAUUUUUUUGGAAUGAUUUCUUAAUUAGGUUGCUUGGGAUAUGCUGAUUAAGUGAUGAUUGUUCCACUAUAUGUGUGUCAAUAUAUAAUUUUUCCGGUGAUGUUACCAAGACCACGACAUUAAUAAAAAUAUGCAGAAGUAUACGAAUUAGAUGGAAUGUCCAUGUUGACCAUAUAUGAACUCUCGAUACCUGACAAUGAUGCGGCAAAAUGGGGAGAAAAUAUUAUGAGGGGGAGAGAUUGCAGCGAAGUAAGAUGAGAAAUCCUCUCUGAUAAGACCUGCGAGCUGCUUUUUUGAUGGCAUUAGUUAAGCGAAUUGAUUUGGUCAUGCCAUCACCUUGAGAUGGAUUUGUUGAGCAACCUGGGUUGUGGAUGACUGGAUGGUGGAGCUGUUCCAAUAAUUGGGUGGUUUGCUCACACUCACAGUAUUUUUUUAAAAAAAUUUCACGGUAGUGCUUAGCAUUAUGAGGAACCAAAAGCAGAUUGCAUUAGCCAAUUCAACAAACAUCUUGCACAAGCACGAUAAAAAUGUCUUUGUCUUGAACAGAGAUUAUGAUAUUUCAUUUGAAGUGGGGUUCAUGCUGCUAGUAGUACUUGUUGAGGUCCAAAGGAGAUUAUUGCAUUAAUUAAUUGUCUGAUGCAAUCCAUUUUAACUAGAAAUAUAUGGAGUACCAACUGUCUUUAAUAGCAUAUAUAAAUCUGUAGAUUAUACAAUAUAUAUGUGAUAUUAUCUCCAAGCUGACUAAUGCUGUAACAAAACGGUUUAACCCUUAAACAAGCAACCUGUUCGUCCGCUGCAGAAAUGAGAGUAGGGAAUAAAGUGUCGUUUUCUCUAGAGGCUGACAUUUCGUCACAGCACGAUUGCUGAUUCAACCCCUCUGGGCCUCUCAAUUUUGUGAGGUCAGAGGUUUAGGUCCUCGUUUAUCCGUGAAAAUAAUUGCCCCUUAUUGCAGGGUGCCAGGGUCCAAUUUCUUCAGCUUUAGCCUGAAUAUAAGUACAGCCCAUAAUUCUUGGUGAAGCCAAUUGCCCCUUAUUGCAGGGUCCAAUUUCUUCAGCUUUAGGCUGAAUAUAAGCACCUACAGCUCAUAAUUCUUGGUGAAGCCGUUAAUGGAGUGAUGCCGUUAAACACUUAUCCUAACCUGCUACGGCAUGAUGGACAAAUAUAUAGUAUACAGUACCAUCUCCAUUUAUUAUCUACCAAAUGCUCCCUACGCCUAACGGCCUAAGUACCAACCCAACAACUGGUAGACGGUAGUUACUAUUUCGGUAGUAGAACAGAUGUUUGUAUACCCAAUUAUCGGCAGUUCGGUACUACUCCUACUACUACUACUACUACUACUACUACUACUACUACUGCUACUACUGGGUUCUGGAGUGAUUACUUUACUCCCUUAAUCUCGUUGCAAAAUUCAAGCAGCUGUCCGGCACGAGCUUUUGCACUGAAAAAUCUUUUCCCGUCACGUCGAUCGCCAUGAAAACCCCCCGUGGCCUCCACUAAAACAAAGCGAAACGAUCGGUAGAAGAAAGCGCGCCGCGAACAUGCGCGGAUGAACUCGCGUCGUCGCAGCCACCCACCAACCAACCCAACCCGAGCCGAGCCCGGGUCAACCUGUCGACCGCGCAGCCCCGCGCGCGCUUGGGGGGGCACACGCAAACGCAAUCGGAUAUGCGCGCGCGCGUGCACGCGACCUCGCGGAAGACGGUGGAAGUGGGCACGCGCGGGCGCGAAGGCGAAGCGGCCGUGGACGCAUGCGAGCCUUGACGCGCGCGGCGGUAUGGCCUAAUAACUGGCUGCCUCUGCCUCUGCCGCCGGCCGCGGCGAGGGAUGGCAUUGGCGUGGCGCGCGCGGUGGCGGGCUGACCGCCCAUCGGCUGCGACGCGGACGCCGCACCGGUUCUGCGUUUGGUUCCGAGCUCGCCCCGGGGAUCGGGACCUCCCUCCCACCCCACACGUUGUCCCCACUGACAUGUGGGCCCGAGGGUCCGUGGGGUCCACGUGUGAGUGACCAGCACAAAGUCGGGCCCGCGCGUCAGUGCGAGCUAGCAGCAACGUGCGGCCGCCACGCGGAGAGCCGGGGGAUCUGACCCGAGGUGUCAGAGACAGUUAUACGGGCAGUUGGUCGCCUCGUGUCGUCUACUACCUCGUCGCCCCCUUUUUAUUCCUCCUCGGGAGAGCACAACCGCCGCUUGCCGACUCCGUCCUCCUCUCGUCUCCUCUCGACCUCUCCUCUGCUCCGAGCAUCCGACUCCGCGCGGCCGAAAGGUAUACUAAUCGUCUCCCUCCUCCCCUCCCCACCCCACCACCUGUUCGAUGGAAUGCCGCAGCCAAAACAGCUGCCUCCCUGUUUCGAUUUUCGCUGCACGAAUUUGAUGCCGGGUUUCUCCUCCUGUGGCCGAGAAAGAAGUGUUCUUGUUCAAUUGAGGGAUUAUUAGGCUGUUUCUUGAUGGUUCUGUUGGUGCGCCCUGGUUCUUGUUCUCGGACCAAAGGGCGGAAAACCACGCGGAUUGGGUAAAUGGAAGUUCUUAGAGAAGGCUGUGGAUAGAUUAUUUUAAGUUCUCUUGCGUCUUGCUUUCGUAAUUUUUCUUUUCUGGGAUAAUCCUUCGGUUAAGAAAUUCUUUCCUCAACAAGGAGGUGUAACUUAGUCCUUUGCUUUUUUUUCGGUUUCUUGUUUCGCGUACUAGGAUUGCUUUCCUUCUUGGUAACCUCAAGGUACUAUGUCAAUCAACGCCUUCACUUAGUUUGGAGACCAAAGACCUCCGACAAGGACAAUUUUGCUGGAGAAUUUUUUUCUCAUGGAAAUUUUCGUGCAAGUGACUGUAUGAGACAUUAAAUAUCGUUUCUGUGCCAAAUAACUAACAGAAGUUGGUUUAAGAGCCCCUCUACAAAUGUUGGGCGUUGUAGAUUUAGGAGUUGUAUUCUGACCAAAAUGCUCAUCCCUCCCAAGAAUUGCCGUUUCUUGGCUUGUUAGGUCUCUCCUUUCCUAGUAGCCAUUAAGUCAAGAAAUGAAGAAACCCAUAUAGGAUGGUGUCUUCUUCCAUGAAUUAGGCAGUGCAUUUCUCACAGCCUCUCCCUAAGGAAUUGAGGCAUGGGAAAUGGGAAAGUUGGUAGCUUUUGGCCUUUUAGGUGUCCACGUACCUGGCCAUGAAGAGCUUCAUAAGAAUUAUUAGUUGCGUUUUUAGUUGAUGGGCCCUACAAAGCUUUGCUGGAAAGCUAAGAAACAUUCAUAAAGUCAAUUUCUUUUCUUCUAAUGCUUUCGCUUGUUCAGUUAAGGUCUCUCUGUGAUGUGCAUUGGAAGAUAUGUGAUUGGACUUCUCUAGUUGGAUAUGCUGCUGUUGCAGGCGACUGUUCGGAAGGACAUGUGUGGGAUUUCUAAUUGAAUAUGGAGUACAUCACCAAAAAGAACAAACUUUGCUUCAGGCCUCCUUGUGAUUUGGGUUCUACGUGUCCUUUUGGUGUUUGUCUUGUUGCGUUCAUCUUCAGACAUGUGGCGAAAUCUAGAUUGCAAAUGUUCUUGUCUUGGGACUCUAGAAUUCUGGUCUAGAGUAUAUCUCUGUACGGUGUCCUUUCGUGGUUCUGAUGCUUUGUCAAAGACUAUUUUGUUUCUUUUCCUUUUUCCUUUAGAGUGGUCAAACUGUGUUGUUAAGCAGUAGAUUACAUGUUUCUCGGCCUCUUUUAACAUAUGUGAUUUAUUAUUCGCUAACUUUUUUCAAAAUAAUAAAUAUCUGUAUGGUUUCCUUUCGUAGUUCUGAUGCUUUGUGAGUGGUCAAACUGUGUUGUUAAGCAGUAUUACAUGUUUUUUUUCCCUUUUUUAACAUAUGUGAUUUAUUAUUCGGUACCUUUUUUCAGAAAAAAGAAGAAGAAUAAGCUGGCUUGAAGAUAUGGCAUCUCUUACUCCAGGGGUACUGUUAAAAGUACUAAAAAAUAUAAAUUCUGAUGUGAAAGUAUGUGGAGAAUAUCGGUCCAUUCUUCUCCAAGUUAUUAGCAUAGUUCCUGCAAUCACUGGUUCAGAACUUUGGCCAGACCAUGGUUUCUUUAUAAAAGUUUCAGACUCGUCGCACUCAACGUAUGUUUCUUUAUCGAAGGAGGAUAAUGAACUCAUCUUAUCAAACAAACUUCAACUUGGACAGUUCAUAUAUGUUGAAAAGGUCCAAUCUAGUAUCCCUGUCCCAGUUCUUGUUGGGGUUCGACCUGUUCCAGGAAGGAACCCUUGCAUUGGAAAUCCAAAGGAUUUGAUGCAGAUGUCAACUCCCACUGGGAUUUCAGAAGCAUUGGCUCAUCAACGGAAGGCUACAAAGUCAGCUGAACUGUCUGAAAGUGAAAAGGAGAACUCUCAGAGGAAGGUAGUCAUCAAAGAGCAGAAGGCAGUUGUAGCUUCACGUUACAUGCUUGGGAUAUCUAGCAACAAUAGCAAAAUUACCAAUCUAAACUCCAGCAUAGAUAGUGACAAAAGUAAUGGAGGAAGUAGCAUAUGUUCUGCAAAUCAGAAGUCAGCUCCGACAAAAUUCAAACAAGAAUCAAAACCUCAGGUACGUUUAAGUGCGUAGGUUUAAUUUACAUUUGAACUAAGAUGCUACUAUCAGCCAAAACAUGGCCUUUACUAUAUAUUGUCUUUGACAAUCCCCGUGCAUUUCCAUAGUGAUGAAUCAUUCCAUUUACUAUGGGUCUUUGAGAUGAGCAAAAUUGUACUAAUGGUAUUUGAAUGACAUCUGCUAUAUUCGAGUUCUUUUAUUCUAAAAUGAACAAAGAUAGGAAGCACAAAAGCAUCUCUAGGAUGGUUACUGAUUUCAUUUGCUGCUAAUAUUGCAGGAACGGCCAAAUACUCCAUCUCGCAGUCCUGCUAAGAUAGUUUCUGCAAAACAAGAAAUUAACAAGGACACACGCAAGACUAGCGCUUCUUCACCCAGUCAGAAUGGCUCAGCUGUAGUGAAGAAGCAAAUGUCAAAGGACAGCAAAAAGGAGUCUGCAUCUGAAAAAAACUCACCACCAAAGCUUUAUAAGACUUCACCACCAACACCAACACCAACACCACCACCGCCUGCAAUGACUUCACCACCAAAGCUCAAUUUGGCAGCAAAGCCUAAUGGUACUUCCGGUACAGUUACUUCUACGCCGACUGUUAAACGAAGAGUUACUGAAACUGUCUCCUGGGACUCUCUUCCAACAAGUCUAAUCAAGUCAGUAAAGGUAUAUUAACCCAUUAUAUUUUUUAGGUCAUCUUCGUUUAAAAAAUCGAGCAUAAAUCAUGACUUGAUUAUAUACCGUCUACAUGACUGUAUUACAUGGGCAUGCAUGAAGCCAUGAACUGCAAACUAUUAUUUGAACCAUUCCAUGUAAAUACGAAAAGAGGCUUCACGAAGUUCUAAUCCAUGCUGCAUACAUUUCUUUUGUGUGAAUAGGUUGUUGCAAGGAGGAAGACUAUUGCUCUUGUAGUAGCAGCUGAGGCUCAAAGGGAGGCUACUGCAGCGGCCUCACUUCUUAAAGGCCUUGGGUAAGUAGUUCUAUGCUGAAUUUCUGUUAGCUCAGGUGUUUCUUUUACAGCUAUUCCAGCUGGUGUAGUUGGUGUCCCCCUGUUCCCUUUUUGUGCAAAUCCUUUCCAAAGUGUCAAACACCUUUUACUUGAAACUAUAUACUGUACUCUUGCUACUGAACGUAAGAACUAAUGUCUGUGUCUGUUUUUCAGAAUAUUCGCUGAGAUCAGAAAGUCCGCUGAGGAGGAUCCACAUGCUGCAAUUACCAAGUUUUUUCAGCUAAACCGGCUUAUCAUUCAGCAAAGUGUUUUUUGGAAAGAUUACUCAUCAGAGCCUGUCAAAGAAUCUCGGCCAGAGAAGGAAAAGCCAUCAAGGAAAGCCUCUGCAUCUCAGAACAAAGCUGUUGCAGGUAGUACGGCAAAGAACUCUGACGAUGCUUACACAAGUGAAAAGAUUGACUGGGCCAGAGAGGAUGGUUUCAAGGAGAUCUCCAGAUCAUGGAUUAUUCUAAAGAAAGAAUCACAGUCAUGGUUUCUCAGUUUCUUGGAAGAUGCUCUUGAAGCUGGAUUCAAGUUCGAGGGCCAAAACAAGAACACCAGAGAACGAGUAAGAGGGCACUCCAAGGGCGGAGACGGGCAAAUCGCGGUUCGGUUGUCGCAACUGAAGGAGACGAGUAACUGGCUCGACCAGUUGCAUAGUGAGGUUGAUAAAUCUCAAGAUGCUUUGGUUGAAACCAUUGAGCAGCUGAAGCAGAAGGUGUACACCUGCUUACUUGGGACUGUCGAGACUGCGGCAUCAGCACUUGAAGCCAGGUAGAUGCUGUCACAGGAGCUCAGGGCUGGUUGUGUUUAUUUUUUGGCUUGGAACCAGCUGAAGGGAGUACUCUGCUGUAACAGAACUGCAACACACAAUAUGAUCGAUCCUGAUGCCAAGGAGAGUGAAGGAAUCGAUCAUCUAAGUUAUUUAUUCCACUUGUACAAGAUGACGUAGGGAGUGAUUGAGGUGUAAAUAGCCGCUGUGUGUGUGUGUGUGUCCAUUUUAAGUUAUGCAUUAAUUUAUUCAUUUUGGGCAGUGGUCAUGUUGCUGUUGCGUGUUGGCAAAUCUCCGAUACUCUUCAUGUUUGCUCAAUACGAAGUACAAAUCUGAAAGCUUUGCAAUUUUCACCUUGCAUCAAAAUGGAUAAACUGUGUGUGUUGGUAUCAAGUCAUGCUGGGUUUGCAGAACAUAUCAGCCUCCCUUUUGCUGUCAGCGUCACUUGAUCCGUAUUAUGUUGUAUGCAAGUUUGUCAGAACGGGUGACAUAUUUGAGAGGAGUAUCCGUGCUCAUGGUCAAUAACAGUAUAACAUAACGACAGUUUAGCAAGAGUGCAGAAACUUAACAGAGGUAAUUAGGUGGAGGCUGUUCUUUGGUCCUGCGUGACAUCCAGACCUUUUUUGUCGAUGAAGCUUUCGGCUGGACGGACCACCGCGUGAGCUUGCAAAGCACAGAGAUGGUGGGCUCGGAUCGGAUGGAUGCAGCAGUGACAUCCUGAUGUGUGUGCAGCUGGAAAGCUCCGGGGGGGAAGCUGCUUUCGAGCUGUGAAAGCUAAGCCAGUGGCCGCUGCGCGUGUAUCUCGCCGAGGAAUGCACGCACGAAAGCGAUCGAGACCCGGGCCGCACGACGCGGCGACGGCAGAACAAAUAUGGGCCUCCGAGCUGGAGAGGCCGGCCCAUCAGCAUGGAGGCCAGGUACGGCCUGGUCCAUUUUGGCUUAGAAUUCAGCCCGAAAGGCGGGGCUCGGAGAGACAAGGGCCUGGCCCAGCUGGCCGGUGUGCGUGCACGUGCAGUAACAAAAGCGGAAAAAAAAAAAGGAGGAUACGGUCACAUGGCCAACCGCGUGCCUGAAUCUCCUAUAUGCAACAAUAUCGUGACACACUAGAAAAAAACACGCGGCUUUGCCGCGUGCAAUACUGGAUGGGCCAUGCUAUUUGACCCUAAUGAGACAGAAUAAUCAGUUUAACAACAAUGCAAGUAUUAUCUCAAAAAAAAAAACGCAAGUUAUAGCAUGAUACUACAGUGCACAAUCAUGAUUGCUGUAGUAGACUACAAAAUUUAGAAGAUUUUUGUGACAUAUAGUGUGAUAUAGACUGUAUAAUCUGAACAAAACACAGUGGCUAUUUGUGACAGACAUUUGAAGAGUAUUGACAUAUUAUCUUCAACAACGGGAGACGACGACAGGAUUCUCGAGAACCCGGCCGACGUCCUCGUAAUCGUUUGCCGGAACCAAGCAACCCAUCGUCAUCGUCAUCAUCCUCUAGAUGUUGAUCUAGAGCUUAAAUAAUGAAAGAUUUUAAUAAAGCUCCAUGUCAACUUUGUAUUAGAGUAACUGGCUAGUAGAUCAGUCUAGGUUCUUAGUCAGAGCUAGAUACACCAAAAGUAAUUUGGCUAGUAGAUGAGAGGAUAACAAAAGUGUCCAUCUUGGACUAUAGAUAGCAAAAGUAGGCUGUCUUGAUUGGAGAAGUUAUCAGGUAGAACGCUUCUUUUUGCCCUUUGUCUGAAUGAAGCCAUAGUCAGUGCUUUCUUCUUCAUCAUUUUCCUAAAAAAGAAAAACAGAAUCCUUAUCAAAGUAUAUUACUAAGGAACCAGCAAUUCUUUCUCAUGCAAUACUUAGCACAAUGCAGGCAGUAGGUUUGGCAAGUAUGAGACCCCUAGUGUCAGCCAUAUAUGUGAAUAGUACAUGUAAAUAGAGAAUAGUUGUUGACCACAGGGUAUACACUUGCUUGAAUAUUUCAUUCCAUUAUCUAAAAAAAUACACUUGAUUGAAAUGGUGCCAAGCUUGUGCACAGUACAGUUAGUAGGUUAAUUGUAUGAUUGAAGAAUGAAAAACAAAUGAAUUUAAAUAUGAUCAGUUGUUUACCUGAUCUGUACUGUUUGGAUCUUCAUAAGCUCUUUUUCCUGACAAAGUGCUUGUUUCUAAAUUAUAUGGUUCAACUUCCAUGCUUUGAAUAUCUUGGGGUGGUUCUAUCUGGGAUGAUGAGCAGUAAAUAAGAAAGAAAAGAAAGGAAAUAGUAAGAGAUUAUGUAGCACCGACAAAAAUGAAUAAAAGAAAGAGUACUACUCUUUUACCUCAUGUUGUAUUUUCUUGGAUAGUAUAGGCACCAGUGGAGGUAAAUUAUGUAGUUGUUGAGAUGAACUUGAACUGAUGGGAAGAUUCUUAGUUGCCUUAAAGCCUUGGCUGGAAUGUUGCCUUCCAAAUCUUUCUUUAAUUGUCAGCACCUCAAAUGAAGGUUCAUCAGCGUUGAUAGUUAUGUUCAGCAAAACCUUCACUAUGAAUGUGAAUUUAUGUCCUAUCCAUGCUUUUAUUUCUGGAGGUGUUUGAUUGAUAUCAUAUUGCCUUUUCAUAGUUUCAGCAGUCCUACCAAUAAGUUCUGUACCUUUCUUUUCAAAUAGCACAAGUUCAAGGCUAGCUGUGCCAUCAUUUGCAAUGAAUGGUAUUUUGUACCUGUUCAAGUGCAGAGUUAUUUGAAAAUUAUAGUUAUAUAUAUUCACACUUAAUAGUAUGAUUGGAAAAAGAAAUACUCACUUGUACUCAUACUGCCUACAUGGGCAGUUCUCUUUCUUGCAUUUUAAUAUAGAACCAUCCCAUAUCAUCUUGCAAUUGCACAAUUUACAGGCUUGAUAACACCAAGUUUUUCUUUCCUGAAUUCCAAUGAUAGUAGCAGUGCACUGGUAUUUUUCAUCCUAUGUAAAUGUAUAAAUGAAAGGUUUAAGUUGUAGUUCAAUGAAAGAAUUUAAUAGUAUAUUAAUUUAGGUACAUAAGUCUAACCUUGUCAACAAAAGGAUCAAUUUCCUUCAAUUCUGCAAGUGUUUUGUGUUCAAUGCUCCGUUGCAUAUCUUCAUCACUUUGCAAGUAUAGCUUUUGUAUAGGAUCAGCAUGUGGUGGAAGGCUGCAUAUAUAAGAUGUUAGAAAUAGGAAAUUCCAUAAAGUAAAAGAAGAUAUGCAGGGGAUUAAAUUGUACUUACCAUUUCUGAAACAUCUUGAUUUCAGGGAUGUCAUUUUCGUUGAUAUACCAACGACAAGCUGUUGUUCCACUUAGAAAUUCAUAUGUUCCCUUAAGGAUUUUCAUUGAUGUACCAACAAAUAUUGCUAUUAUAUGGUUAUUUUGACCAACUUCCAGUAUUGUCUCUCCAUCAAACUCAACAGCUCUUUUUCCUGAUAAUGAGAGGUCGAUGGUUUUUCCACUUUGAAGAAACAAUAAAGUCAGUAUCAAGUAGUUUCAGAUUAGUGUUAGUGUUCAGAUGGGGAAAUAUAGCUGAUAUUGGCAUAAAUUACCUUAAAUCUUGUAGUUUGACUAUUCUUCUCAUCCUAUAAUCUGAUGAACUUGUAGAAAUCAUUGCUGCAUUAGAAACAGCAAUGAUUUUUCCAAUAACAUCUGCAAAGAUAGAAUAAAGUAUUUGAUUAUAACAUUGCAUAUAGAAUAUUAUGGUUACGUGUAAUGAAAUAAAAGUUAAUUUAGUACCUAGAAAACGAUCAGUCUUGCUUGUGAAAUCAUGAAGUUUAUCAAAUGACACCAAAUCAAAUGUAUACUUUGGAAAAUCCAUAGGUUGAUCUUUGGCUUCAAUGAUACAAGUUCUUUUGUUUAGUUUGAUCAUAUAUGGAUUACCAACUGCUCUAUAACUGGGCUUAGCAUUGUUAACUGUUAUCUUGCUGAUGUAGACGAUAUUUCCUUCCUGUAAAUAUUGGUUCAAUAAAGGUAUAGCAUCAGGUGGGAUCUCAGCAUAGAUAGCAUCUCCCUGCAAUGGCCAUGCAAUUUUAAUAAAAUAAUAUAUAUUUAAUGAUAAAUAUAUGUUAGGAGAAAAUAUAAAUAAAGGAUAUAGUAUUACCUUUUGAUCAAGUAAAACCAGAUCUAAAUGUUUGAUGUUAUCAUCUUCAUUAGUUCCUCUAAAUUCCCAUAUCCUGGAUAUUCGGACGCAUAUCAUGUAGUCAUAUCGCCCUGGGCGCAGCUCUGCAAUUGGAGUGAUAUUCAUCUGCAAAUUAUAAGCAAUGGAAAAUGUUAGUACUGUGUUUGUGUUUAUAUAGUAUAUAGAGAAAAAUAUAGUAUACAUUAAGAUCUAAAUGAAUCUAAAAUUUCUCUAUAUACUAUAUUUUUUGUUUGUGUUGCACAUGUCCCAUCUUCAUUUUCUAUUAGAAUUUUUAAACCUUUACUAUUGCUUACUCGUGAGAUUGCGACAUAUAAUUGGCCAUGUGUAAAGACUGGUUUUUUUAGAUAUAAACCAACAUUAGAUAAAGUUUGUCCUUGGCUUUUAUUUAUAGUCAUAGAAUAGCACACUUUUAUUGGGAACUGUCGUCGACACAAGGUAAAUGGCCAUUGAUUUCCUCGGGUUGUUAAGUUUAUUCUGGGUAUAUAUGCUUUUUCUCCUAUAUGAGUUCCUGUUAUUAUUAUACCUUCUAUAAUAUUGUCUCCUAAAUUUGUUAUUAUCAAUCUUGUUCCAUUACACAAUCCUAAAUUUUGGUUUAGAUUUCUUAGCAAAAUUAUAGGAACUCCAACUUUCAGCUUAAGUACAUGAGUUGGAAAAUUAUUGGCAUUUAGAGAAUUUAAAUAUUCGACAGGAUAUAAUAUGUCCGCAUCAUUAGUUGUAUCCAUACAUUGAGAUAGUGUGUCAGCACUAUAAUAUUCCUUCUCUUGAUUAGGUACUAAGCUAAGUAUAUAGUUGUUCACUUCAUCAACAAUCUCAUUAGUUGUAGCUAGAAUUGCUCUAUUUUUCAAAUAAUUUGGAUUAAAGAAACUAUUUUUGAAAUCUGGGUAUGUAAACUUUACCAACUCUUCUAAUUUGUUUUCUCCUGUGUUUAUUAAUAAAUUUUCCGGCACUUGUAUAAUGGUUGUAUCUGUGUCUUCAUUUUGAGCAGUACUUUGUUUGGUAUUUAUUUUACCAUUGCCUAUAUCCAGAAUCCAAUUAUUAAAGUCAUUGAUUUCUUUAUAUUCUAAAGUAUUAGAUUUGGUUUUUUGUAAUCGCAUAUUUUCAAAUAGAAAUAUUUUUUUAACAUACCCCCAAAGAUAUGACUUUACGAUUGAUGCAUUAAUAAUUUCCAGUUUUGAUGCAUUUUCUAUAACUGGUAAGAUUUGUUUAGGGUCUCCUCCUAGAACAACAACUUUACCUCCAAAUGGUUUAUCGAUAGCAUUAAUAUAUUUUUCUGAUAAUAUAUCUCUUAAUGUUCUAUCAAGAGCCUCAAAGCAUUGGCGAUUUGUCAUUAAUGCUUCGUCCCAUAUUAUAAGAGAAGUUUCUAUUAGUAAUUCAGCUAAUUUUGUUCCACGUUUAAUAUCACAUAAUGAUAGUUCAUCUAUAUCAACUGGUAUUCGAAAUCUUGAAUGGGCUGUUCGACCAUUUGGUAGUAAUAAUGAUGCUACUCCAGACGAUGCGACUGUUAGAACAAUUUCUUUUUUAGCUCUCAAAAAUGAUACAAUAGUAUUCCAUAAAAAUGUUUUGCCAGUUCCUCCAUGGCCAGAUACAAAGAAAAAAUUACUUUCUUUAUUUAUUACACUAUUUACUAUAAGAUGAAAUGCUUUCUUUUGGUCAUCGUUUAGCUGUAAGUACAAUUUGUUAGCUUGCUCUUCUAAAUCAUUUGCAUUAUAAUUUAAUUCAUCUUGAAUUAGUGUAUUAGUUGAAUCUAAUUUGUAUCUUACUGUCAUCUGAGGAAGAUUAAAUUUAUCUAUACUUAUACCACUUUUGGAUAAUAAAUAUUCUAUUUGUUCAAUUAGAAUAUCUUUUAAUUCUAUAUCAGUCGGGUUGUACUUAAUUGGGUGAUAUUUUGAUAUUAAUUGAAAUUUUAUAUCAUCUACCAUUUUUGCCCAAUUUGUCUCAAAAAAUUUCCUUUCAUCUUCUAAAUUGCAAUACAAUAGUAGGAUUAUAAAUAAAGAUCGUAGUUGUGGAGAUGUUGCCCAACUUGCAGCUUCGUCAAAUGUUUUAUACCAUUCAUUAUCAUCCAUUAAUAAUCCACGUGCUGCACAUGUUUCUUUAAAAGUUUUAUAAAUAAUACCAUUGUAUGUUCUAAUAUCUUCAUAGUUUUUUGCUCCUUUAACUAUCAUUAAUAGCAUACGUAGAUAGAAACGUUCUCCUUCAGUUGGUUUGACAUAAUAUAAACGGGCUAUUUUAAAACCAUGUUGUCGUUUGACCCAUUUCCUUUCUUUUUUAUCCCAUUUCCAUUUUUGUGGGAAUUCACAGUAUGUCAAGUUUCUUGCUUCUUCAUGUAACUGAUUUGCCAUAAACCAUUCUGUAAGCAUCGUUCUUUGAUUAUCUGGAUUUUCUAUAAUAUUUUUUAGUUUUGUAUCCUUAGUUAAUUUGACCAUAUUCAUUAAGGGAAGAUGAACAGGCAUUCUUUCCACUGGUGGCCAAUGAUAAUGUAUUUCAUAUCCAAGUAAUCUCCACAUACCAUCUUGAUCACAAAUAUAUCUACAUUCUAAAUAUUCUUCUAUUUCAUCUAUUUUUUCUGUUUGCUCAUUUUCAGAAUGAUCUAUUCCUUGUUUGAUACGUUGGAAAAUUAUUUUAGCUUUAUCCCCUCCUUUGUUUACAUAUUUACAUAAAUAUUUUAACAUUCUGCUUUGAUUAACAAACUCAACAUUUAAAUGGGCUUGAUAUCUUUUUAAUAGGAAUAAAUUGUGUGGAACAACCCAUCUAUUGUCCAAGUUAUGGUUAUCUUUACGUAUGUAUAUAUUAGUAUUUCUACGUUUAUAUUGUGCAAAUCCAUUUUCAGUAAAAUUAGUUUGAUCAUUGAAUUCUUUAGGGUAAAAUUUUGAACAUUUGCCUUUUUUCAUGCAUGGACAAUUUUCAUUCUUGGCUCCACAUGGUCCAUGCAUCAUAUGUUCAGCUAUAAGGAUGUAUCCUAGAGGAUCUUCUCUAGGAUCUGGUAUUUCAGUUGAUAUCCAUUUUUCUAUCAUUUCAAUCGUUAUUUCACUUGGCUUUUUAUCUAACCAAACUAAGAUAUGUACAUGUGGUAAACCUCUUUUUUGGAAUUCUACCGAGUAUAAAAUAGCUGUUGUAGGUCCAAAUAUUGUGCCGGAUUGUAUAUCUUCUAUUAAUUGUUCUAGCUUUAUAUGAAAUACUCGAACUAUAAUAUCAGGUCUAUCAUUGGGUUGUUCGUUUUCUAAGAUUGUCAUAGUAAUUUCAGGCCACCUAGGAUUACAUGUAAAUGUUAUAAAUAAAUGUGGAGGUCCAUAUACACGACAUAUUGCUAUGCCAUCGUAAUAGUUUUGCAUUGUAUAUCGUUUAGAACCAACAUGGCUUGAUGGUAAUAUUAUUUUUUUUCCUAUUUGGUUUCCUUCCGUUAAACCUUUUUGUACUGCAUCAAAUAUUCCUUGUAAACAUUCAGCUCGUAAUUUGUUUUGAUUUUUAGCAAUAAACAUUAGUCUAUCUUCAUCUUCUAUUGCACGGGCAUCAACUAUUGCUUGUUUUGAUAAUCUACCAUAACAUAAAUAAGGAUUUGGUUGAUUUGGUCGAUAAUGCAUAUGAUAUUUGUAGUAUUCAUGUACUGUAAUUGUUGAUCUUGUUUUUUUACUCUUUUUAUUUGUAUUACUAUUAUAAUAUGGUAUGCCAAGUUGAAAUCCUCUUUCUCCAUAAGGAAAUAAUAAAGGGUAUUGUAAAGCCAUAUAGGCUGGAUGGAAUAUAGAUAUGCGUUGUAAUCCAUUAUUUUUAUUUUGAACAAUAAUAUCUCUUUUAUAAUUUUCUAGAUUUAAUUCUCCAACUAUUAAAAUUGCUAAAUCUUCUGUAUGUGGCAUUUCAUAUUGUAUUGGAUCACCUUUAUCAGCCCCUAUUAUUCGAAUACUAAAAUCAACACCUUUAUUUUCUUCAAAUAGAUCGCGAGCAUAGCGAAAUGUUUUUACCAAUGGAUUAUAUUCAUCAAACAUUUUUUUUAAUUGUUCAACUAUAUACGGAUUGAUAUCUGUACUUCCCAUUUCUUCUUUAUUUAAAGCAUGUAUUCUAUUUUCUAUUUCAUUUUUAGUAUCAAAAAUAUAUAGUUCUGCAAACUUUGGAAUUUCAUUAGGCUUAGGUAGGAGACAUCCAAUACGAUGAUGUAUUUGUCCAUUUACACGAAACACAUAUGGUCCAUCGCCAUUAUUUAUAUUUUUAUCUAUUGUGCCACCCAUUGAAGUAAAAGAAAAUAAACUAUUAUAUUGUCUAAUCUUCUGCAUAAAAUGUUUUGAUAGAUUAUCUUCUUUAUUAUUAAGUAACCUAGCAAGUGUUUCUGGUGGGUUCUGGAAUGGUGGUAUUUUUAUUUUGUUAUUUUUACAGCAAUUUGAAUAUAUAAUUUCACCUUUUCUUUUCUUUGUCUCUCUUUUAUUUCUUUCUUCAAACCAAAAUAUAGCAUUGCAAUGUUUACAUUUAUACUCUGGCAUACCUAUAAAUGAUUUGUUUUCAUAUGAUUCUUUUAGAUAUUUAAUGUAUUCUGGGGUAAAGGACACCAUGCCAUGUGAAGUUGAUAAAUAUGAAGAUAUAUGGUCUAUCUCUAAACAUUUCUUUUUUGCAAUUUUUUCUAGAUAAUCUAAAUUAUAUUGUAUUUUUCUUUUAUUUUUAAUAUUUUUUUGCUUUUCUGUAUAUAUUAUAUCUCUUAUAUUACUAUUUUUUGAUGUUUCUUCUUCAUCUUUAUUACAUUUUUUAUUGUUAUUAUGCACCAUAUUUUUUUCUUCUUCUCUUUUUCGCUUUUUCUCUCUUAGAAUUUGUAGUCUGAUAUAUCUUCUUUUCUUGCAAUCUGAUUUAUCAUAUUCUGCUAUUUUUAUUGGAUCUUGCUUUCUCUUUGAUGGCAUAUUAACACUUCUGAUUAUAUAAGCACAAAAAAUAGCCAAAGUCAGAAAUGAAUAUAAGCAUAAAAUUAAAUAUGAAUAAUUAAAGAUAUUGGUUGAAUCAAUACAAAACUUAAUCAUUCAUUUCAACAGCUAUAUAUAAUCAGAAAAUUACACAUGAAUAGUAAAAAAAGUGUUAGCUAAUACAAACACUUCAAUAUUUAUGACGACAAAGAUUAAUAGGAGCUACAAUUAUUGAUCAUACAUACAAUGGGGCAAUAGAGCUAUUCUAUUGCCAUUCUCUAAUAAUUCCUAGCGUACAUCUUUUGUACAGUACAUCCAUUCCAUUUGUAUUACAGUUUCUUACAACCAUCGCACAAAAUUUUCAAAUUUCAAUAGAUAGUGUUGAUAUUUUUAUAUAUAUUUCUGAUUGGUUAUUGUUUUUAAUUAGUUCCAUACUAAAAUUCAGUGCAUUUGUGGCUAUAGAUAAAAUGGAUUUGCUGAUUUAUUGGUAAAACAAUAUCUUAUGGAAAUAAAAAUAAAUAAAUACAAAAAAAAUGUGAAGCUUUUGCACUGGUUCUAGUGCAAGUAUUUUUUCUGUCUUCACUGAUGUUGCUACAAUUCUCCAAUUCUCCAUAGGAACAUUGAUUUUCCAGAAGGGUUGUAGUAGGAUCUUGGUAUGUCUACACAUCCAGCAUAAUAUAACUUUUUGGUCAUUGGUACAACACAUCCAGUACAAUAAAUAUAAAUAUAAAUAUAUAUAUAAAUAUAUAUAUAUAUAUAUAUAUAUAUAUAUAUAUAUAUAUACAUAUAUAUAUAAAAUUUUCCAGCUCGUUAUUGUUUUUUACCUUUUUGUACUUCCUAGCUUCAGUGUCUUGCUCCUGUUUAUCUCCUUUUCUUUUCCUUAUUCUUUUAUCCCCUGUAAAAUAAACAUUUACUAAUAUCAUUGCAGAUGAUCAAUGUACAAUGAUGAAAAAUACUAAAAAGAAUAGACAAUGUUUUUUUUUCUGGUAAAUAUCCAUACUACACGAAAUGUUAUUCACAGCUGAUUGGUUGUGCUAUAGCUUUUCUAAAUAGAAAGUAAAAUUUGCUGUAACUUGCUGCAAAUUAUUUAGAGGAAAAGAUUAGACUUUGUGACUAAUUGAUUUACGGGAUUGAAGUUAGUAUAAUUACAUGUAAGUACCUAGGUUUGUCAAUUAAGGGUUUGUUUGGAUCAGAAGUGGAGGCUACAGCUACAUUGUAUAGUACCACUAUAUAAAUCAAUGUAUUUUGAAUAACUUUUAAAAAGUUUAAUUGAAAACAGUUAGUUUGGAAUGGUGGUCAUCGUAAUAUACUAUGAGUUAAUUUAUUAGGAGUACACGAAAGCUUGACUUGUUAGCAAAGAUCAAACAGAAAUCAAAAGGAACACAUCCAUAUGUCCUCUCUACUAAGUUGUCAUUGGAGAUUUAGGUGACAGAAUAAGACGUGGCUGGACGUAAGAUUUCUUUCCGAUUGCUUCCGUUCCCAGUGACUUAUAUUAUAACAAAUAGUCUAAUACUCCUAUAUAGUGUCAGAGAAGUAACAGAUAUAGUAUAUCUUGUUGUCCAUCGUGCACAUCAUUAGGAUCAGGGCAAGUUGCAGUAGGCUGGUGUUGAUGUUCUUUGAUUCGGUAUAAAUCAAUCAAUCAAAAUGCAAAAUACUACUGGAUCUGGGCUAAUUUGGGGGCUUUCGUGAUCGUGCAAGGUAAUGCAGGCGAUCGUGUACCUGACCUCGUCCUCGUGUUCACUAAUACAUGUGAUUCAGUUCACUGACCUCGUCCUGGUGUCGCCGGACCUGCUCGCCGCAGAGCUACCGGCCGGAGGCCACCGCCUCGGAGGCUCCUCCUCGUCGUUGUGUUGUCGCGCACGGCGCAGGAUGUGCUUGCCGCAGAGGUACCGGCUGGAGGUCGUUGCUUCUUUAUCCCUCGGUGGAUCAGAUGUAUUGCCGGUGGAUGUUGAUGGUGGUGUUUGGUGCCGGUGAAUGUGGAUGGUGGAACGGCAAGAAGGAAUGUGAGACAAUGACGAGAGGAAAGAGGAAUGAUGGAGAAUGAAUAUAUAUACAGAGAAGAAGAAGAGUCAAUCAAGGAAGACGAAGAGUCGUGGCCCUUCCGGAGAAAUCAGGUGGCUUUGCACUUUUUCAUUAUACUCCAACGUAAGAUUGUCUUUUAUAUUUUAGUCCUUUUCGCGUUUUGGAGCGCACGCACGAACCACGCUGUGCCACGUGGCAUCGCUAAUCGCUCGAUAACUUGCACGGAUUUCGAUAGUAAGAGAUAGGAAGGAUGGGGCCAAUUAAACUUGGACAGACUCGACGGUGUACCGUACCAUGUUGACGACUUGUUCAAUUCACCGAUCGAUCGAUCUGCGGGCGGCGCGCUCGCGAAGACCCAUGCACGCACCGGCCAGGAAGAUGGACAGCUAGCUAGCUCGAUCGAUCGAUCGGCGGAUUACUGUACGAGAGAUAUUAGACAGCCGCGCGCGCGCAUGCGCCGCCGAUACGGUGCAUGCGCGUUUUCAUGCAGGCACAGCUAGCGCGAUUCCGGACUUCACUUGUCGGUGCGGUGCUGCAUAUGCAUGCGCCGUACGUACGUACGCUCGCCAGAUCAGAGCUAGUGGUCGACGGCAGUAUACAAGCACAGACAGGGGCGGAUCCAACGUGAUACCCCCUAAGCCCCCCCUUCAAUUUUUUCAUCACAUUUUAGCAUAGUUUAACACUGAGAUUAUAUGUUUAUAUCGGUGUACUCAGUAUGUUGAGUCCCCCAACUUUUUGUUUCUGAUCCGCCACAGAGAGAUGCAUGGCAUGCGUACGUCAGGGCCCGCGCGCCCGGGUCAGCUGCUGGAUGCAUUCUGCCGCGCGCCAAACGUCAAGUUUUCCAUUUUCUAUACUACCUUAAUUUGGCCAGGCCACGUACUAGCUGUAUUUAUCAUGCAUAUGAUUAGGGGUGUCAAUUUCCCGGUGAGGGGCGUAUAUGUUACUGUUCAGUUACUACACUAAUAUAUAUAUACGUACAUAUACUAUGUGUACAUACGGGUAAUAUAUAUUAAUCUAUACUCCAUCUGUCUCAAAAUUUAAGCAUUUUUUUUAUCUCGACACGGUCCUUGAGAUGCUACUUGGACCAACAAUAUCUAUAAAAGUAAGAUGUCGUUUUAAAUAAAAAGAGUUGCAUAUUAUGAUAGUUUGUUUAAUAAUAAAUCCAAUAACAUCAAUUUUACAUGAUUGAUCUUUUUUAUUUUUUCUAUUAACAGUCAAAGUUUAAAAUGUUUAACUUGACACUAUGCUAAAAAUGCUUAUAUUUUAGGACGGAGAAAGUAUAUACUUUGAAUACGUACAUGCAUGUACUGGUAGCUGUCAGAGAGAAUUGCUAGAUUUCAGUCACCUCAAAAGAAAUUUUUAGUCAUUUAAAAGAAGGGGGUAUUUAACUUUUUGUCAUUUUUAAGAUGUGGUAAUUAAUAAUUUGCCACCCGUAAUCUAUAACACGUGGGCCCUCGUAUGUCUAUGGCAUGUGGGCUUAGUGAUAAAUCUUUAAUUGUCACUUGUAAGAGUGGCAAAUAGUUAAUUAUUCCUCUAAAGAUAUUGCACACUCUGCCUAAAUUUGCAGUGAUGUGCAACAAACAAUUUUCUUUUUUACUGCAGUUUGAUGUUAUGUAUGGUUUUUCUUUAUUUUUUUUCUAUGUUGGAGUCUUUCUCAUUUAAUUUUGUAAAUCUUUAUGUGUUAUAGGUUUACUUCAUUUUAUUAUAUAUAUAUAUAUAUAUAUAUAUAUAUAUAUAUAUAUAUAUAUAUAUAUAUAUAUAUAUAUAUAUAUAUAUAUAUAUGUUUUUUAAAAAAUAAUAUUGUACGAUUAUUGGGCACUGGUAAUUAAUACUAAUUAAGUAAUAUGGAAGUGAUGAGAAUAGUUUAUCAUCCGAAGAAUACGAAAAGUAGUGACUGAAAAUUUUAGGCACCUGAAAUCUAGACAGACACUCUCGUAUUAAGAUAUUAAUCCUGGUCCUAUAUAUAUCGCUUAUAUACCAUUCAUAAUCAGUACUCCUUCCGUUUUCCGUUUUACGUUAUAAUAUGUUUUGACUUUGGUCAAAUUCAAACAGCUUUAAAUUUGACCAAGUUUAUAGAAAAAAUAAUAUUUUCGAUUAAGAUAAAUUUAUUAUAAAAAUAUAUUUAAUUAUUAAUUUAAUAAAACUAAUUUGGUGUAAAAUUACUGUAUUAAUAUUUGUCUAUAAACUUAGUCAAACUUUAAACAAAUUGACUUUGACUAAAGUUAAAACUUCUUAUAACCUGAAAUGGAGAGGGUUAUUUUUUUUAGUGUUGAGCAUGUAGUAUGAUCAUCGACCUCUCACCGUGUAUGACUAAAUUGACUACACAUGCAUUGAUACGUAUGUAUCGUGCAUAUAUGCUCCAUACUCGUCUGAGUCGUUUGAUCAUGUAGUUAUUGACAUGGUCUGGUCUGGUUACGUCUACUGGUCUGUUGCUUUAGUAAAGUCCCAGAUUAAGUCGAUCCUACAUUUCAUACCGGCCGGUCCACAAGUCAAGCACAUGGCUAACCGUGCAUACAUACCACUUCCAUCAUGUAGUAUGCAACAAUCAUGGAGUAUAAUAUUUCAUCCCAAACUAUGCAAGUGUAUGUUAAUUAGUAUAUAUUAACCACCAAAAGCAAUCAUUAAUUUAUAAUUAAUUAGUUUCGGAAGACCUAGCUAUGAUCUCUAGCCACAAGCCCCACAAGGCAAUGAACGGACACUGGACUUAAUUAGCACCCAAAUUAAAUAAUAUUGUCAUCGUCUUGGUCAAGCCAUCCUAACGCUGAUACAGCUUGACCACCUCAAAGGCUCAAAACCUUGUGCGCUUGCAAGAGCAAUCUAGCUAGCUGUUUUCAGUAUUAGUCUCUUGACAGAAAGGGAACACCUAAUUAAUUAUUUUAUCACUGCCAUGGAAGGUCUUUUAAGCUAGCUAUUAGCUGCUACUUGCAAACUUCUACAUAUUACUGUCUAGUUCGAUCUCUUUCUGCAGAAUCUAAUUGAAUAUUGGAGCAGUAUGCUUGAUCUGCUUGUGUAUAGUUAAUUAAUACGUUAAAUCAUUGGAGAGAAAUUAAUUAAUUGCAAUAUUAGAGUACGUAUAUAUGGUAUAUAUAGUAUACAUGCAUAUGGUCUUCAGACAAAUGAAGAAGAAAUACUAGGAAAGGACGGGAAAAUAUGAACAAGCAUAUUAGUCAGCUGAAAGUACUUUUACUUAAUUAUCUGUCUUCGCGUUCCCUUCAGUUAUACGGUCAAGUAGUUGGUCUCCAACAAUUCAAAGUUUUCUACCACAUUCGUUAAUUCGUAUUAAUAUUCAAAUGUCCCAAGUUGAAAAAUCAUGAGCUGGCUAGCUAUCUCCCAUUCUCCCUUGAAUCUUGACGAGUGAUGACUGAAGAGUAUAUAUGCACACACUGAGCAUUAUUUUUUCUUUGAUUUGUUAUGUCUCAUACGUACAAGAAAUGUAAGCGAAAUUUGCCACAAACUUAGUGGCAAUUUCUAUAGCAUUAACUAGUGCGUGCAUCCUUGCUCAAAUACUCCACUUAAUUAUUUUGUUAUGUUUACAUAGCGCGAGUAUUAUCACAGCCAAAUACUCCCUCCGUAUUUUAAUGUAUGACGCCAUUGACUUUUUAGCCAACAUUUAACCAUUCGUUUUAUUCAAAAAUUUUGUGCAAAUAUGAAAAUAUUUAUAUCAUGCUUAAAGAACAUUUGAUGAUGAAUCAAGGCACAAUAAAAUGAAUGAUAAUUACAUAAAUUUUUUGAAUAAGAUGAAUGGUCAAACGUUGUACAAAAAGUCAACGACGUCAUACAUUGAAAUAUGGAGGUAGUAUAACGGUAGUGAAUCGUCUAGCUAGCUACCUCUAGAUCGAUCAUCCGGCCGCGCAUGGGUAUCAGUGUGUAUAUAUAUAUAUAUAUGCGCUUGAUUUUAUAUUUCUAUCAUAGCACUUAAUUACUUUAUUUGUUGUUGAAAACUCAAGGUCAAAAUGAGUUUCAAUCAGGUCGUCAUUGCUAAUUUGUCUAGAACUCCUUUGAAUAAAUGCAGGUAAUAUAUAGUUAAUUUAUUAUUUUCUAUCAAGUUCUAUUGCAACGUUUGUUAAUUUGUGUCUUUGGGAAUAAAAGAAAGUUAGCUAUAUAUAUAGACAUAUAGUCAAUAAAACCAUACGUGUGCAUGCAUGUUUCUUUAGUUUAUUUUCACAUUCCAAAAAUGGACCAGUAACUAAACUACGUUCACAUGCUAAUAUAUCAUGUCGCAAAAGUCAAAAGCAUUACUAGUACAGUAGAGUAGUAAAAGCAGCUGACCAUUUUCUCCGACAUUUCUGAGUGCAUCAAUUAUUUUCAAUCUUACAUUUGCAACUCUACGUGCUGAUCGAUAUAAUGUGCCAUGCAUCCAUAUACUCAGCCUAAUUACUUUGCAGUUUCUUACUUUUCCCGUUUAGGACUCCUAGCACAUGUCGAAAUUAAACUGAUCAAAUUUUACCAUUUUCACUAGCACACGUACGUACAUAUAAAUAUGUUUAUCCACAUUUUAUAUGUAUAUUAUUUAAUAUGCAAUUCAUCUCCAUAUGAGAAAGUGCCAAGAAAAUUAGAUCAAACUUCGUGGUAAAUGUAAGGAAUAAUCAAGAGCUAGCUAGCUUGCGUAUGCAGGAUGGAUAGCUAGCUAAAUUUGUGGUACCUGUACAAUCAUCAGUACCAAAUACACUCAAUUAAUUAAUAUAUUGCUAAAUAUUAUUGAACAACUAGACCAAUGGAAUCAGAUCCAUGUGGAGGAUGUUGGUUAAUCUGCGCCAUGUGGCGCAGAAUAAUCGAUCAUAUAUACUUUGUUAUAAUGCAUCGAUCUAAUUAAGAGAUGUGCUUAGUAUUUUUUUUCUAGUUAAGAGAUCUAGCUACUUAGUUUUUUUUCGAACAAAAAAAAAUGGGUCCACACAGAGGUCAAAGCUAAUAUCCAUUAUAAUCUGGGUCUUCAGAGGAAGUUCAGAUGAAAAAUACACUUGCUAUGUUUGUUGAUGCUGAUGAUCAACCUAAUUAUUCUUGGUUUUUGGUACGGCGAGUGCAUGUUCAAGGUCAGCCUUCUUCCAAGCAGCUACCUAGUCUUGGUUUCUUGAGUUCAUAGUGCACACACAUACACAUUGUGUACUACUCCAGUUCGAUACAGUGGUCUAAUUAAUUAUUAACAAAUUAAUUAAGUAUUCGCAAAAAGAAAAAUUGAGCUGGUACUGUUUUAUACUCCAUCCGUUUCGAAAUGUUUGACGCCAUUGACUUUUUAGCACAUGUUUGACCGUUUGUCUUAUUUAAAAACUUUUAUAAAAUAUGUAAAAUUAUAUGCCUACAUAAAAAUAUAUUUAACAAUGAAUCAAAUGAUAGGAAAAUGAUUAAUAAUUACUUAAAUUUUUUGAAUAAGACAAACGGUCAAACAUGUGCUAAAAAGUCAAUGGCGUCAAAUAUUUUAAAACGGAGGGAGUAAUUUAUAUCCUAUAUAUAGUUAAUCAUCAGAAUCUUUUUUGUUCGGUAAACAAUGGAACUCUAUAUGCAUUGGUGUUGCAUGCAGAAGACGUAGCUUUCAUGGUCUGGAAAAGUGUGAAUUGCUGGAAAUACAUUUUUUUGCUGAGAGAGAAGUCCAAAAUGUUCUAAACAACAUUGAUAUAUAUAGAGAGAAUGAGAGUUUUUUUAAACUAAAUAUAUAUAGGGUAUCUAGCAAUCUUUUUAUUGUGUAGGAAGAAGAUAAUUAACAAAUAUAUAUACUAGCACUAUACAUUAUCUAUCUAGCAAAUUUUGCUGCUGGACACUCAAAAUUUAUUUAAUUUGCUGAUAGACAUUGAAAAACGUGUCAUAGCUAAAAGUUAUCUUUAAAAGUGGUAAUUUGCUAGAUGAUACUUUUAGCUUAAUUAGAGAGAGAAAUUAUUUAAAAAUAUGAGAAUGCACUUAGGGUCAAAAGCUUCUAACUCUUGAGGCUGUAGUAAAGUAGGCAUAUUUUUUUUUGCAUGUUUGACAUUUAGUAUUUUUCUCACUACUUUUUGUUUCAUGGGUUUUGUGUCCUAGUUAGCAAAUAUGUGCCACGCCAAGUUGACAAACAUAUUAACUACUUCCUCCGUUUAACAUUACCCAUAUUCAUAUAGAUGUUAUUGAAUCUAUACAUAUGUAUAUGUGUCUAGAUUCAUUAACAUCAAAAUGAAUAUGGAUAAUGCUAAAAAGUCUUACAUUGUUAAACGGAGGGAGUAUAAAAUUUGUUCUAACGACUUUCCCUUGUAAAAAAAUGUAGGCAUCCAAUGGAAAAAUAAAAUGCAGAACAGAUUGAAAGCACUUGUGAUCAAAUCAAAACCUUGCAAGAAAAGCUGCAGGCUUGCCGCUGCUCUGUUCAGUUUGUUGCUUCCAUACUGCGGUGACAGGGAAAGAAUAGUCAGCGUUAGGCUUCCAUAGCUGCUACUGCUGGUAAUACUGCCUCCCAAAUUAAGAUCGCAACUGACUCAACGUUUAACCGUCCAUCUUAUUUAAAAAAAUAAUUAGUAAUUUUAUUGUUAUAUAAGAUGAUAAAACAUAAAUAGUAAUUUAUAUGUGACUAAUUUAUUUUAAUUUUUUUCAUAAAUCCACCACACACUUAAAAUAGGACGUGCUAGUAGACAACUUGUCCAUGGCAGCCAAAAGGACAAAAGACAUAGAAAGCUGUCCGUUUCACUUGCAGGAGGGUGACAGGGAAGAUAUAGCCAUAGGCAUGCAACCAAAUUUGCCCAAGCACAUUGCAUAUAUGCAUGGGUCCCUUUCGGUUUAUUCCGGUCCAAAGCUACCGAUCGAUCUCUUGCUCUCUCUCUCUCUCUUGGCUUGGAGACGAGACGACGAGACGUUCAAUAAUUCUCCUGAUCGAGAUGAUCAACAGAUCGAAUAAUGGAGAGUUCUCCCCUUGAACGAGACAAGGUCGUCGUUCCCGUGUCUCGAAUCUGUACAUGCCGAGAGGAAAACCAGUAAAAAUCUUUGACGACCAAGCCCCGGGCGAUCCAGAUCGACCGACCGACCGAAUGAAAUAACGAAAGCGAUACGAGUAAUUUUUACUGUGUCGAUCGUAUGCGUAUCGUAACUGUUCUCUUGAUCGAUCAGCUAUAUUUUACUUGUCGGAAUUUGUUGAAAGAUCCAGCAAUCGCGGGCCUUUUUCACGCUUGCCAGAUUAAUCCUAGCUAAAUAUGUGUCAACAAGAUUACAGAUCGAUUGUUCCUCACUAACACUUUUUCUUCGUUAUAAUAUAGAGUUAGUAAUACAUGUCAUUUUGGAUAAUGGUGAGAUCAAACUUUAAUUUUUUUUAAAUUUGGUUAGUAAAAGUAAUUUCUAAAAUUUUAUCUUAAAAAUGUACAGACCAUAUGUAUAUAUUAAAAAGUACUUCACCAAAAAUCAUAUGUUUGUUGAUAUUUUUAUUUAUAUUAUAAUAAAAAGUAGUGGUAAAAGUUAUUUUUAAGACCGCACCUUUAUUCAAAACGAUGAUAAUUUAUCAAACCUGGAGGGAGUACAAGGAGUCUGAGGCUUUAAAAUUUAUCAUAUAAUAAGGACUUUUAUAGCUGAUGCACUCUCCCAAGCAUGGAUUAAUUAGUCUGAAACUAACCAACAACUAAUGAAUUAGAAGUAGCUUCCUAUUAAUGAGGGAAAUUAUGGACUUUUGCCUUUUCCUAUUUAAUUUGUAAGCUAUAUAAUUUUGAAUGGAAGGAGUAACAUGAUUAUUUUAUUUUUUUUUCAUGUUUUUAAUCAAAGAGCAAACAUAUAUUACCUUCCGAUAUUAAUUCAUAUUUCCUUUGUUUUUAAUAUAUGAUGGCAUCGAUUUUUAUACAUGUUUAACAAUUACCUAAGUAUUCCCUCCGUUUCUAAAUAUUUGAUACUGUUGACUUUUUAGCACAUGUUUGACCGUUCGUCUUAUUAAAAAAAUUGUGAAAUAUGUAAAACUAUAUGUAUACAUGAAAGUAUAUUUAACAAUGAAUCAAAUGAUAUGAAAAGAAUUAAUAAUUACUUGAUUUUUUUAAUAAGACAAAUGGUCAAAUAUAUUUAAAAAAGUCAACAGCGUCAAAUAUUUAGAAACAGAUAGAGUAUCAUUUAUUUUGUUGUGUCUUUUUUUUAUUUUUAAAAGGACUUUAAACAUGAAUUAUAUUCUUUAUAUUUGUAAAAAUUAAAGACGAAUGAUUAAAUAAAUGUAUGUUCAAAAGUUAUUGGUACUAUACAUUAAAAAAGGGAAUAGUAUUUUCCUGGUAUUCAUACCAUAAGGACAACAAAACAACUCCCAUGAUAUUUUCUUUUCUCAAAUAACUAACAAAGCCUCAUGCCUAAUCUCUUUAUCAUAAGCUACCUGGAUCUAGGUAGUUUCUCUUUUCAUGUUAUUGGGAAUAUUUGACCGAUUUUCUUGAUAGCUACUUAUGGACAUGUGCUCAAAGGAUGUAAUAAAUAUGAUUUUUUUUUAAAAAAAAAAGAUGAAUUCACAGUAACUAUUUCUAGUGGCGUAAAAAAAAGAUUUUACUUGCAUGAAAAGACAUGGUUUGAAGAGAGAGCUCUGGCCAUGCAGCAAGGACGAGCCAAUCAGCCAAUGGUAUAUGCUGCAAAAAGUCAAACGCAUGCAUGGGCCCCAGUUGUCAGUGGCAUAUGCAUGACCUCUAAUUUAUAUGGUUUAUUUUUUCCCUCGUAAUAUUUCCCAACAUUUUCUGUGUCACGUAGGGGAAGCUGCUUAGCCAGCCUCAGCUCACAUGCUUAAACCCUCGCCUCUUCUCCCUAUAAAUACACACCCUAACCUUCUUCUCCCUCCCACCCACACAUCAUUCUUCAUCCCCCACCCUAAAACUCAACUACUCAUCCUCUAGCUCUCAGCUGCUACGAUCGAUCGCCAUUGCUAGCUAGCUCUAGCUCAGAGCACGUAGAAACACUUGCCAUGGCGGCGGCGCAGCAGCAGCAGCAGAAGGAGGGGGGCGCGAGGCGCACGAGGGAGGAGGUGCCGGCGGUGGGGAGGGUGGCGAUCAUCGGCGGCGGGAUCAGCGGGCUGGCGGCGGCGAAGCAGCUGGCGGCGCACGACCCGGUGGUGUUCGAGGCGACGCCGCACAUCGGCGGGGUGUGGAAGCACUGCGCGUACCGGUCGACGCGGCUGCAGACGCCGCGGCCGGACUACGAGUUCUCCGACAUGGCGUGGCCCAACCGCGACGACCCCUCGUUCCCCACCCACGUCGAGAUCGUCGACUACCUCGAGGACUACGCCGACAGGUUCGGCCUCUGGCGCUACAUCGCGCUCCGCUCCAAGGUCGUCGGCGUCAAGUUCCUCGGCGGCCCCUCCGCCGGAUUCACCGAGCUCUGGAGCGGCUCCGGCGAGCCCCUCCAGGGCAAGCCCAUGUGGGAGCUCGCCGUCUCCUCCACCGACGACCCCGACUCCGACGACGUCCAGGUAAAUUAACAUACUCCUCCCCUACCAUAGGCCGGUCUGGCCGAUUGUAUUGUGUAACAAAAACGUAACUCUAUUACUCUAAUAUAUUGACGUGCAAUAAUUCUUUUGCACGUUCGCGAAAAAACGUCUAGGUAAACAUACCAUGUUAAUUCUCACACACCUAGAGCUUGAUUUCCGGUCAUGGUGAUCGAUGGAUUGGGUCGAUAUGAUGCAGUUGUACAAGUUCGAGUUCGUGGUGAUGUGCACGGGGAAGUACGGCGACGUGGCGAGGAUGCCGGUGUUCCCGCCGGGGAAGGGACCGGAGGUGUUCAAGGGGAAGGUGAUGCAUUCGCUGGACUACUGCAAGCUCAACGAGCAGGAGACCGUCGAGCUCAUGAGAGGCAAGAAGGUCGUCGUCGUUGGCUACAAGAAGAGUGCUAUUGAUCUAGCCCUUGAAUGCGCCGAGGCCAACCAAGGUAAAAAAAAAUUUAAAAAAAUAAUUUACUCACCAUCGAUCGUUGAAUAUUCGUCUCAGUAAAAAGCUCGAUCAAUAUGCAUGGAUGUUCUAUGUAUUUACCGUUGUAGAUUAGGUGCAAAUUCUCACAAAGACAAAACCAUUUUUGUUCUUAAUAAAUGACUAUGUAUGUAUUGAGUAUCUAGGAAAUUAACAUGCAUGUAUAACUAGCUAGGCGCAGUCAGAUGAGCUAUCAUGCAUGCAUGAACGCGGAGAUUAACAAGUAAAUCAUAGAAAAAGAAGAUUCAUGCAUGCCAAGUUCACACAUAACUAACUCCAAAGGAAUUACAUAUUUAUAUCGUGGAAACGUCCAAUCAUUUGAUGAACUUGGGACGGAAUUAAUAUUGUACACUUGCAUGGUAUAGUAGUAGUAUUAAUUUGCAUACCCAAUUUGGUGACAUGCAUGUAACGCCGUGACAGCAACCUGUCCUAACGAAAUUCAGGAGACCCAAUCUUAGUUAGCUCUGACACCCUGUUUCAGAAAAGGUCACUCUUGUCUUGAUCCGUCGUACACUCCAUCUAGAAUUUUAUUUCUUUUUAUGCCACAUGUAGCCAAGCCUCCUCUUGCUCUAUACAGGUUCAAAGUACGCUAAACACAACACAUACGCAUAUAUGCUCUGACUUUUCAAGCUGAAGUGUUUUAUAUGCUAGCUACGCGUUCCACUUGUCAAUCUCUUUUUUCUACUCUGAAACUGCGCAGAGAUGAUCACUCCAACAUUUUGACUGUGUACUUGACCAUAUCAAAGUGCUAGCUUAGUAUAUUAAUUCCUUUUGUUUGGCCAUCAAGUUAGUAAUUAAUUCCAAGUUGAUCAUGCAGCAACAAAAACUAUCUGUCAUUAAUUCUGAAGAAUUAUUAAUCCUUUAAUUUCAAGCUUGUUCAGUUCUGAUUGAUUGGUUUGGUUGCAGGUGAGGGAGGGCAGCCGUGCACGAUGCUGGUGAGGACCCUGCAUUGGGUGGUGCCAUCCUACUCAAUCUGGGGCUUGCCCUUCUUCCUCUUCUACUCCACUCGCUUCUCCCAGCUCUUCUACGAGAGGCCCAACCAGGGCAUCUUCAGAUCACUCCUCUGCCGCCUCAUGACCCCAUUGGUAUGUACAUACUCACUCGAUCUACUCAUUUCACGUGAACAUCUUAUCAGAAAUUAAGUUCAGAAUGUGCAUGCUCAAGACUUUGACAAUAUUAUUUUGUUUGUAGUAGCUAGCUAGCUUGUCAGCAUCAUAAUUUACCAUGUUUUUUUUUGGGAGAGCAGAAGGCUGGGGUGUCCAAGUUCAUCGAGUCGUACCUGUCAUGGAAGCUUCCACUGAGCAGGUACGGGUUGAGGCCGGAUCACCCGUUCGUGGAGGACUACGCGAGCUGCCAGAUGGCCAUCCUGCCGGACGGCUUCUUCGACAUGGCCGACCGCGACCUGAUCCGUUUCCGGCGCUCCGCCGGCGGCUGGUGCUUCUCCGAGAACGGCGUCGUCCUCGACGACGGCACCCACGUCGACGCCGACCUCGUCUUCCUCGCCACCGGCUUCGAGGGCAAGGACAAGCUCCGCUCCGUCCUCCCCGAGCCCUUCCGCGGCCUCGUCGUCAACAAAUCCUCCAUGAUGCCCCUCUACCGGUACCCACAUGUUAACCAACCAAUUACACCGCAGACGCACACGCACAAUUAGCUAAUGGAUGAGUGUUUUUUUUUUGUGUGUGUAGGGGGACGAUACAUCCGCUGAUACCGAACAUGGCGUUCGUGGGGUACGUGGAGAGCGUGUCGAACCUGCACACGUCGGAGCUGAGGUGCAGGUGGCUGGCGGGGCUGCUGGGGGGGAGGUUCGCGCUGCCGGCGGUGGAGGAGAUGGUGAGGCACGUCGACGGCGAGACGGAGGCGAUGCGGCGGACGACGCGGUUCUACCGCCGCCACUGCAUCUCCACCUACAGCAUCCACGACAGCGACGCCAUGUGCGCCGACCUCGGCUCCCGCGUCCACCGCAAGUCCAACUUCCUCGCCGAGCUCUUCGCCCCCUACAACAACCAGGACUACAAGGAAGAGUAGCCAAUCCUGGCCGUCCAUCCUUCCCGUACACCGAAUCAAGAUACCGUUAAUUCAGUCGUAUAAAAUGAUAUAAUAAGAUUCGUUAUUUGUUUAUAAAAGUAAUUAAGUUAAUUGAUUAUUAAGGGCUGAUUAAUUAAUUGUUAGUUAAUAAUAAUGGAGGACUAGCUUAGGUCGUGUUCAUGUGUCAUGUGAACUGGGGAAUUGAUUUGGUGAGGACUCGAACUACGAUCUGGUCUCGGCCGCGACCGGGAGAGGAAUCAAAUCAUAUCCAAGAACGGGACCAUGUAAGUUAGGUCCGUAUGUACGAUCUGUACGAUCGAUGUGUGCAUGAUCAAAGGUGGUUUUUCCAAACCUCUUAAUUUGUAAUCAUUCUUUUUUGUCUGAUGAUGAAAUUCAAUAAAAUUCAUUUAUUGUCUGAAAUCGUAUCCGCCUGUUUCGAUCGCUUCUGUACGUGUGAAUUUCAUGGAUCAGCCAUAUACUGUUCUGUUUUAUAUUUCUUACAUUGGUUAAAUUCAAGGAUAAAUUUAUUAGUUUGUUCAAUAUUUAUGAAUGAUCUGGGAGUAUGAUUGGUUUUUAAUCAAAUGCAAAUGGCAACCAACAGCCAAGAAAACAAUUCAUGGCAUUUUGAACUUUUCCACGGGUCAAGUCAAUAGCUUCUAAGAUGCAUAUAUGAUACCUAAAAUACAAACCAACCAAGUCAAAAUGGUCAAACAGUCGAUACUAUGUAUACAAACUACUAGAGUAGCACUUAACUAAGAGUUGACCACAAUAAUGCUAGCUUCAAUUAGUCGGUACUUGGUAGUUAUAUGUUUUUUUUUCCUUCUGUAAAUAUUUUAUAGUUCUCUCCCUUUCGGGUUGUUGCACCAUAGUCAGAUGUUAAGGAAGUUAUAUAUAUAUAUAUAUAUAUAUAUAUAUAUAUAUCAUCUAUUCUAGGCAGGUUUCAUGAAUGUAUAUAUACACCAUGUUUUUCUUUUCUUUUUUUUUUCAAGUUGCCCGUUCAUGUUGUGGCGUCAAUCGGUCAUGAUUUUGACCACCAAUAAUCUGCAUAUGUAGCUAUCAGAUGGUAAAUUUUUAGGCAGUUUAAUUAGUCGUUUUGGCCUCUGAAAAGGCAAGCAGCUAAGCUUCUCAUCGUUUACUGUAUGGAGAUAAACCGUAAAAGAAAAGUAACUAAAAAUAAUUUAUGAGUACACCUUUUACAUAUGUGUUUCUUAGUAAUUUAAAAGUCAAUACUGAAAAUGAACUAAGAUGAAAAAACUUUAAAAUGAACUCUAAUACCAUGUUUUAAAAUUUAAUUUUUGGCUGUGGGAGAUGCAUGCACUGAACGACCGUUCCAUAAUUAAUUUACGCACAUAACCGAACACAUCAUCUUGCAAACCCAUUACUUACAUUAUUCCGUUUAUUUUUGUUUUUUAUUGUCACAAUCUUGUCUCUGGAUUGUGAUUUUUCAGGAGUUGGAUUCUUAAAAUCUGAUUGUGAAUUCAGAUUUUGAAACAUGCGAAAUGUGCAAUUUAUAUAAUACUUCUAGUGAUAGUUUUAGAUCAACAUCAUCACCCCACAAAAGCAGCUUCAUUGCUAACUUUUGGUUUUUAUUAGAAACCAUGCCUCGUUUCUACGAAUCUGCUUUCAGAAUCAAGCUAUUUGCUUUUGCUUUUGAUUGUCAAGCGGUGAAACAACAAUAUGGUACGCCCCCGGUGUUUUGCCACGCCUUAAUUAUGACAAAAGUCACAAAACCCUUGUCACGUCAGUCAAGUCGGCAUGAUGAAACAAAAUUAGGCAUGUUGUUUUGUUAUUCUAGCCUAGCUGUUGUGGCCAAAAGAUUAGUUUUGGAAGUUUUGGUAUAUAGUUUAUUUUAAAAAAUAAAAAUUUAAAAGGUUCAAUAGAUAAAAAAAUAUAAUUAUGGGCAUUAUAUGUGUAUUUAGACACUCAGAACAUCUACUUAAUUCCAAUACAAUGCAUAUUUCCUCUUUUUUUUCCAUGAUUAAUUAAUGUUGCGUACGUGUAAAUAGUUACCUUUAACUUUGUACGUCAACAAUAUAUUGUGGAUACAACUAAGAGGAGAAACUUUGAACAGGAGCCAUAUCAUUGGAGCCUACCACCGUUGCUAAGUCAAAUUCAAGCAAAUAUUUCGUGAAACUCGUUGCAAGUGAUGUGGAUACCAAGAUAAUUAGUAAAUCGGUUAGCCGAUAAUGGCUAAACAUAUGAGAGCCCAACAACUAAGUACUCCAAUGGUUGUAUAUAUAUACACCCCCGUUGGUGUAGAAGCCAUUCCCAUUAUCCAAAAAAAAAACAAGUAAGUACUCCAACUUAUGAAUGUCAAAAUAUUUCCUAUCUAUCUUAUCCUAGCAACAGGUGUUAUGCUAGAGAUCUGAAAAACCGUUUUAAUUCAUCUAAUUGUACGAUAAAUCUUGAGCUUUUUGUUUAAUUUCUGAAAUGGAAAUAAAACGUGAGUUAUAGAAAAACUAUAUUUUGUAGGCUAGUUGUACCGUUUCAUCAGCAAUGCAUGCAAUUGACAUUUAUAGUUCCAGUGAUGAAUUAAACUGCAACACCUUUGUUUUCUAAAUAGAUGGCUUCGUUAAUUUUUAGAUUAAUAUUUGACUAUUCAUAUUAUUUAAAAGUUUAGUGCAAAUAUAAAAACUUUUUUUAUAAAUCAUGCUUAAAGUUUCUAUAAUAAUAAAGUAAUUAGUGCCAACAAAAUAAAUAAGACCUAUAUAAAUUUAUUUUAAUAAGAUAAGUGUUGAAACCCUAUGCUAAAAACCAACGAUACCAUCUAAAAAAAAGAAGUAUGUACUACUAUCCUGUAUUUGUAAAAUAUAUAUUUAGCUAGCUAGGGAAUGAGCCCUAGAAAUAGGAUAGAAACUGCGUCGAAAUUAAGAUGCAUGAAUGCCAUCCUACAUUUGGAAGAAAUGAUGAAAUACGUACAUGCGUACGACGUAGCCGUAUAAGGUAGUAGAAGUUAUAGUUAAGCUAAAUGUUGUUUAUUUAAGGUAGUUCUGAGAAAAUAAUGUACGUAAAGGAGGAAGAUCGAUGUACCUUCGUAGAAAUUUUGCAACAUGAAUCCUCUAGGUAGGUUAGUUAGGUCGACGCUGGUGGUACGUGAAUUUCCUGCAUAUAUAUUUUCUUCCGUUCCAUUAAUUUCAAAACUGGUCCUAAUAAAUUAUUGUUUCUAUCUUCAAUUCGAUCCAUGUUGCACUCAAAUUAAUUAAUAAACUGCAACUUUUUCCAAAGCUUGGAAUUCAAGAUUUGCUCACGUCAAGGAUUCAACACGCGAACGAAAGAAUUAAUGUUUCCAUUUUCAAAACUUGCACGAACGACGACGAAACCAUAUGCUUGUAUAUACAGCUGAAACGCAGUAGCUAGUGGCGUCUGGACUUUAAUUUGAUCAACCGAAAGACCAAGACUAGUAGUACUAUUACGCACGAGAGAGAACUAACACAACACAUUAUAUUAAUUAAUCCAAUCGUAUAUAUGCAACGGCCGGUUCGUCGUCGUCUCCGUUGGGUUUAUUUGAUUUCAAUUCGUCCGAGACCGAUCGAUCGAGCCGCUCCCACGGUACGUGGUCCGGUCGGUCGUCCGGUCCAGGUUGAGUUUUCACUCCUGGUCUGGUCCGUACGUGCGUGCGCAUGUACGCGUUUGGUAUGUCGCUUUUGAACACUGUACUAGUGCUAUAUAUAUAUCCUGCACGUGCCUGAUAUAUACAUGGGUCGCGCGCAUUAAUGAACCCGACGACACGCGCGCGCAUCAUCUGUGACGUACGUGUUCGUGUGAAUAGCUCGCUGUUCGUGGCCAAGGCGCCAACAACCACACGUACGUCGACGUCGGUCGGCUUAAUUCCCACCAGCAGCCGAUCGUGCAGUGCAGAGACGUACAGCGCAGUGUGACAGUCGUAGCUAGUAGAGAAGGAGAAGAAAACUGAAAACGGCCGAGCGAGCGAGGCGAGCCAUCGACGUCUCGCUGCAUGGUCCCUCGACGCGUACCGGUGUACCACCCACACACGCCGCAGCAACCAAAUCGGCCUGGGAGUUGAGCAGCGUACGUGUCCUCCCGCGGAUGUCUACACCGGCCGGCCACGUACAUCGCCGUCGUCGCUGCGCGACCGCUCGCUGGGCCGCGCGUCCAUAUCAUCCCACCGCGACGGGCUCCGAUCCACUUCCACUCCAUCUCCCGGCUCGACAUCCUCCUCCGAUCCGACCCGGGCCUCGCCUCGCGCGCGACCCCGCGAUUCCGCCGCUUCGCGCGGGCCGUUCGCUAAGUUUUCUUCACACGGCCUGUACGUCUCGGGGACGCGCAAAAGGAAAAAGUACACCGAAGGUCCCUCAACUUGUCCUCGAGAUACAAAACCAGAUAUCCCACGUCCCUUAACUAAUCAAAACCGGUCACAAAAGUCACUCGGCGGUUUUGACCCCGGUUUUAUCCUACGUGGCUGCUGAGUCAGCGUGGGACCCACGUGGACCCCACAUGUCAGCUUGGGCCACGUCAGCCUCCUCUAUCUUUCCCCUAUUCUCUCCCUUCCGCAUCUGUCUCACUCUUCCCUUCUCUUCUUAGGUAAGCAGCGUUGCUGGCACUGCCGGGGAGGAGACCGCCGGGGCGAGGCGGGAUCAGCCGGAAUGCUGAGCUCGUCCGCAUCCUUGCCACCGUCGCCGCCGGGAUCCUCCUCAGCGCCGCCUCGAUGCUCGCGUUCUGACCGCCGGCAACGACGUCGGUGUGGGGGAUGGACACCGAAUAGCUCCGGUAGUCCGUUCCCUCGGCAGGUGCCAAGUGUACUUGGUGUACGCCGACGCUGGGUGGAGGAACACCGGGAUGUAGCCGGCGAGCAUGGAGUCGAACGUCGACUUGCGGGUAUAGGAGUCGCCACGCGGCUGGAUGCAGAACACGCGGAAUUGAGGAGCUCCAUGAUCCGCCCCGGCGAGUUUCCGAAGUGGGUGCAGGACGGCGACGCGUGCACUGCUCGAUGAUCUGGGCGCGCACGGUCUUGGUGCUCCCGGGGCGCGGCGCGCCGGCGAACGCCCAGAGCCACCGGCGGUCGCGCCGCCGCAUGCGGUCCUACCACCGGAGCACGUCGGCGUCUAACAAAAGUUUAUCUCUAACUCUACAAAAACACGCACGUAUGCCUUCACGCAAAACCCAUCCAACCGCAGCCUGCGGCGUGUAUGGGCCUCCAUCUGCCUCCAUCUCCAUCGUCUCUUCGCAAACCAGUAGCUAUAGCUAGCACCACAUUGAUUUGGUUCUUCGUGACAACAGGCUGUGCCAUCUAUGAAGUAAAGCAAUGCCUUCCCUGCCCAACGAGGCAACGAUACACCGCCAUGCAUGCAAAGCCCACGUGUAGUACCUGUUAACUCAGCACACAAAUUCCCAAUAAAGCAAUUAAUUAAGUAAAUCACUAACCAAUCAGCAAUUUGGCAAACCAAAUAACCCAACUAUCCUAAUUACAGUGUCAACAGACCGGUGCCCAGCCGGCGGGUGUACAUGUACGAGCUCCCUCCGCGGUUCAACGCCGAGAUCGUCCGCGACUGCCGGCUGUACUCGAGGUCGAUGGACGUGUGCAAGCUCGUCAUGAACGACGGGUUCGGCCCCGCGGCGCUCCCCAGCGGUGGCGCGCUGCCGGAGCGGGACGUGUACGACACCGACCAGUACAUGCUGGCGCUGAUCUACCACGCGCGGAUGCGGCGGUAUGAGUGCCUCACCGGCGAGAGCAUGGCGAGGAAGAAGACCCGCGACGCCCGGAGCAAGCUCGCUCCACCGCCGCCGGACUUGUCGGACACGACGCUCGCCGCCAUCGGAGCGGACGUGCGCCCUCGCCUUCUCCCGCAUCGCAGCCGCCGCUGCCGCUUCCUCCCCCACCUCGCCCCGGGGGCCUCCUCCCCAGCAGCGCCGCCCGGCUUGCCUGAGAAGAGAAGGGAAGAGUGAGAGAGAAAUGAGAAAGGGAGAGAAUACGGGAGAAAGAGAGGAGGCUAACGUGGCCCAAGCUGACAUGUGGGACCCACGUGGGUCCCACGCUGACUCAGCAGCCACGUAGGAUAAAACCGGGGUCAAAACCGUCGAGGGACCUUUUGUGACCGGUUUUAAUUAGUUAAGGGACGCGAGAUAUCUGGUUUUAUGGUUUGAGGACGAUUUUGUAUCUCGAUGACAAGUUGAGGGACCUUGGGUGUACUUUUCCCCGCGCAAAAACCAACUGGGAUAAGUUCACUUCAGAUCUCUUAUUUUAACAGAGUUCGAAUUUCAUCCCUAAACCAUAAUAUCAGAUAUGAAGAGUCCUUUGACUUAUAAAAAUCGGUGCACCAAAGAUUCCAAGACAUUAUACUCUCAUGUUUUAGCUAACGUGACGAGCUGACUUCGGUCAACCCGACUGAUUUAGUAUGGGACACACAUGUCAUAAAAAAAAUCACUACCCUUCUUUUCCCCUGUGUCUCUCCGGAUCCACCCACCAUUGACGCCGCGAGUUCCCCCACGAACAUCAUUCGCUUCCCCCGCAUCGUCCCCAUGAACAACCGCGCAUCAAAGCUGCUCGAUUCAAUUUGUGAGCAAAUCAAUCUAAAGAAAAUGCAAAGAUGUUGAUUUAGAAGGAAGGAAUGCAAAUGUGCCUUGCUUGGUGAGGAAGGUAUAGAAAUCAAUGUUGGGGUAGAGGUAGUCAUCGAUGGAGUACUCAACGAGGGUGUGGACGUCCUUGCCAUACCUGAAGAGGGCAGGGAGAAAGAAGGCGACAACGAGGGUGGUGACUGGGGAAGUGGGGAGCGACAUGCUACGGCAAGGAAGGAGCAGCUAGAGGAGGAAGGGAGUGUUGGUCGUGGAUUGGUAGGGUGGUUGUGGCGUCGUGGAGUAAGGCGGCGACCAACCAGGGGGAGGGGGUAGGAGCGACAGUUGACGGGAAGGCGCGCGGCAGGGAGAAAGACGGUCACCGACUUGAAGAGAGGCGGUGGGUGCAGCAGAUUGUAAGGGCAGGCAGCUGAACGAGCUCCCAUGCUUGCGUCUGCACCUCACGUCUCCCCGGUGCCCACAGCUUGCCACCCAUCUCCCCCUGCCCGCCACUCGCUGAGCAUGCCCGCCCACAUCACAGAGGGGAAGGGGGCAAUGCUGCUAGCUCAUGCCAUCGGCGUGAUGCCCAAGCCACAACAAUCGCCCCCUUCCACCACCUUGCCUCCACCACCACUGCCCUCCACUUCAGCCCUUGUCGCCGCCUCCUCAACCAAGCCAACCCGCUUUGUAGGGCUCAUGUGGGUCCUAUUUACCACAUUAACCAAACCCGGGGAGCAUACUAUCUUGAGAUUUUUGGUAUACUGGUUUUAUUGGUUGAGGAAUUCUUCAUAUCUGAUAUUGUGGUUCAACGAUGAAAUUCGAACUCGACGACUUUAAGAAGAGGGACCUAAAGUGAACUUGUUCCAAACCAACGUCUCAUCGCGGUUGCGGCCCUUGUCGCGCGCGUGUCGCGGGCUUGCACCUUGCGGUUUCGCGCUUGGGCUUUUGCCUGCCGGACCGGCCCAGCGGCCAGCGGAUUCCAGUGGAUAAACAUUGUAGCGUUCACCGUUAUCGCUUCCUGCAAAGUGGAUGGAUAGGAUAACCAUGGCGUUUUUCUCACUUUGGUAAAGGAAAAACCCAUCUUGCAGCCGAUGACGACCUGACAGGUUGCAGCCGCAGAGCAUGGCUACUUACAACGCUGAUUGAGAAGCAAAAAAUUUUGUUAUCCAUCGAGAUCGAUCGAAGCUUUCAUUCAUCCAUAUCAAGUCACGAUCGGUUGGUUUUAUGUUCUUCCUCCGAUCCAGCGGCCUGCCACCAUCAAAUUCAUCACGAUGUGUUCGCUCCUGAUAAAACCACGAAUGGAUUGGCACGGGUCACACGAGUGGAGCUAGAAACACUAAAAUUUAUACUCCCUCCAUUUCACAAUGUAAAUCAUUCCUAUUCAUUAACAUCAAUAUAAAUGAGAAAAAUGUUAAAAUGGCUUACAUUGUGAAAGGAGGAAGUAUUUACUAAUAAUACUAUUUUUAAUUUAUUUUUUAUAAAAGCUACAGUGUGUAAUUUUACAGAAAUUGAGAGAGGCCCUAAAUGAUAACAUGAGGAGGAGUAUCAUUUAUCACCUAUUGACUGCAAACCUCAUGUUAGUUAACUUAAUAAUUUCAUCAAUAUGGUAAGCCUGAUCUCACAAGCUGACUUUUUGUACCCAUACCUGCAUGCUUCUGUUGCAGGCUGGUAGGUAGCUAACGCUAACUGUUUAUAAUAAUCCAGGAGCAUCUUAAUGAAAGCAAAAUUAUGCGUAUAAUCUAUCACACAAGUGGGCACGAACUCAUCAAGUUGGAUAUAUACCACGGUCAGAGCUGGGCUCUUCUCUUUCUCUCUUCUGGCGCCAAUUCAGAAUGAAUACAGCUAAUCCAUCCAUGCCAAGUCAGCAAUAAUAAUCCCCAAUUCUGUUCCAAGGAAAACGGAUUAUAUUACCUCAACUAGAUGCAUGACGGGGUGUUUGAAUCAGAAACAAGCUUGCUUAGCUUGAUCAGUUAACGUAAUUAAUCCGGUCGGAACUAGUCUAAUCACAUGCUGGUUAAACAUGCUAAUCACUCAACGGGUGAUGCUAAUUAAACGAAUGGCACGUACGUCACCGGCGAUCCCGUCCAAGAGAAGGCCAAAUCGGAAACUGAAAUCAAGUUGCUGCUGAUCUGAUCUGAAUAAAUUUAAUCAGAAAAGCAUGCGUUAAGCAAGCGAUGGAAACAGCAUCACGUAUUAACGACAUCCAUCGAUAGGUAUAUAUCGGUGUCGUGCCAGCCUUACUGAUCAUCUCUGGACACGGAUGAUGUGCACGUAAUUAAUCUAAUCUGAUUGACGAGAUUAAUUGCGUGUGAUUACCGGUUACGUUACUUGCGUUGUUUUGCAUGCGUUGCCCUGCUGGGGUGAAUGCAAACACACAGCAUGAACAGAUUAAAAAACAAAGAAUCUGUUAGUUAGUUCUACGUGUGUACGGAGUGGAUGUUUGCUUCCUAACCAUAGUUAUUAAUUUCAUUAGCUUUAGGAUUAGAGCACAUGGUGAAAUAACGAUGGUCCGGAUUGUUGCUGUGCAGUAACAGGGCUUUGCUGUUGGGUGCCAUAACACCGGUCAGAAGUCCAUAUAUUUUAACUAAGGGUGUGUUUAAUUCACACCAAAAUUAAAAGUUUGGUUGAAAUUGUAACAAUGUAAUGGAAAAAUUAGAAAUUUGUGUGUGUAGGAAAGUUUUGAUAUGAUAAAAAAGUUAGAAGUUUAAAGAAAAAGUUUAGAACUAAACUCAGUCUAAGAGAAGUUAUAGUUGCCUUCACUCUAAUCAGGGUGGAAGAAACACACUAUGGUCGGUCAUGUUUGUAACAACAGCUCUACAUUAUUUAGGCUUAGGUAUUUUGAAUCCUAAAUCCAAAAAAAUCAUGAAUUUGAAGCUGCGAGUACAUCGAUACUACUUGGAUGAAUCAUUUUAUUUUUAUUUUAGAUGAAAAUAAAUACUUUUAAGAUAGUACAGUAGCAAUGGGUGUAUGGUUUUAACUCCAUAAUCCCGUAUUCGUCACAAAUUAUAAUCGACUAUUAUGCUUGCUUAAAAUGUACCUAGAAACAGUUCUCUAGCAUUGAUACAGGGUUUAUUUUGUUUCCUAUACAUAAUACUACUACUAAGAAAACCGAUCGUAAGUUGUUGCAAGGAGACACUAGCCUGCCUGGUCCACAUGGAUGUAUCGACUCAAAAACACCUCAUUAAUUAGUAGAAUUCAGGUUAGCCAACCUGUAUUGACUUGAGCAAGAGGUCGAUCCGAGAGGGACGCAAGCAUAUGCAGGCGUGGAAUUUCAGCACAAGUGACACUGACAGAUGGGUACCUCUCCAUAAAAAUACAGAGGCUGCUGACAGGUGGAUUGCAUGUGUCAUGUUCUGGUUGUUGGGCUGCAAAUAGUUCACUUGGCAUUUGAGAUGAUUUUUUCUUGGUUAAAUUACGAGACUUGACUCGGAUCAAUCGACCAAUCAUACCAGUUUAAGUGGCGCUCAAGUUAACUAUGAAAUGAACGUCAAUGUAUUGUUUUAUUAUCGACUGAUGUGGGGUGUAAACUCCUUUUAAACUGGUCAAGUUGUAUGUGUACUAGUUCAGAACUAUUAUAUCUAGAGCAUGCGGAUAAUUUCAGUUUGAUUAGUAAUUUACUAGUCAGUAUGUUUGGUGAGUAACACAUGAUUUGCAUUUUGCAAUAAUCAAGCUUAGGCCUAUCUUAACUAGCGCUAUACUCUGCAUUGUCCUGUCACUUACUCCAUUGCAUUUUCACCUUAAUCUAUAGUGCUAAUCUGAACAUAAGAAACAUUAACCUGCUAGCCAACUAAAACAUCAGCGUCUUCCUCGUCAGAAGCAUGACAUCUCCACACCUCGUGGAUCUCAUGUGUGUGUGAUCAAAUCAAACCACUAAGCUUAGGACUUUUUGAUGUGCCACCAAAUCAACACUCCAUGAGGAAAUAAUUGGUCCAGCUAAUGAGCUAAAUGCCAAUAAAACCAUGACUCCGUGAUUAAUUGGCCAACACUAUUCACAAGUACGAGCUCGCUUUUGACUUCUCUGUUGAACUGUUCUGUGAGACAAUGUGUAGCAGGACAGGCAACUGCUUUACACAUUAAUUACCACUAGUAGAGUGAUCUGAUGAAUGUUGCAAUAAUAUGAGAAUUAAGCUGAUGAAUGUGUCAGAUGACCUCAGGUGUACUACUCUAUAAAAAAAAGCAACUCCUAGCUAGGAUUUGUUUUUUUUUUUAUUGGAGGGGUGCUCUCAUAUGCACGUACUUCCUCAGUACUAAAAAGAUUUCACUUUAAUGAGAUAGUAAUAUCACUUUAAUGAGAUAGUAAUAUUUUAUAUGUAAGUACUCCCUCCAUCCUAAAAUAUAAGUAUUUUUGAACUUCGACAUAUUUUUAAAAUGCUAUUUUAACCAAUAAUAUUUUAAAAAUAAGAUGUUUUAAAUAAAAGGAGUUAUAUAUUAUGAUAGUUUGUUUAAUGAUAAAUCUAGUAACAUCAUUCUUUAGAUGAUUGAUCUUUUUUACGAAGAACUAUACGUGCUGGCUUUUCUGCUGACUGCUGCAGAGCAGCCGUAGUUGCAAGCAGUCGAGCAUGCCUUAUCUUAUCUAUGACAGCUGAGUAUACAUCCCUCAUCCAAUUUUUCACUUUUAUACACAUGAAUUUGGACAAGUGAAAAAGUAAGUUUCUUUUUGGAGGAGACAAUACUACUAUCCUAUCUAUGACCGUAGGAGUAUAUGUCAAAGCUAUCUGGGCCGCUAAAACUAUGUAGGAUAGAGCCAAGGCAGUGUCCCAACUGCUAAACCUACCUAGGUUUGACUAAUACUCUAAAAAAAAUCCUAUGUCAAGCUGAGGCUCAAGAUGAACAAUGCAGAAAUCAUAGGAAGUAGCAGAAAGAUCAUAUCAGCUUUUCAAGAACAUUAUUUUUUUUCUGAAAUUCUUUUUUUUUGUAAAACUACUAUAAUAAUUGUGGACUUGUUCCUACCAGAGCUACCUACCCAAAAGGGACAUAAAGGAUGAUGGCUUUGUGUUUGGCAAGGUGAUCACUGUUGCUACUUACCAGUGACCCAAUCUUGCUACAUGGCCAUGCCCAUGGCCACUUGUUCUCCUUCACCUUGAAAUCCAUGUGGAAAAGGGAUAGUCACACACCUAACCCCACAAAGUCACACUCUCCAGUGCCUACAAAGUUGCAACAACAACAUGCACAAAAAGAGGUCAAAAGAUUGGAAGAAGAGGAAGAGGAGGAGGUGUCAAAAAGGCCUUGACAAACGCAUGUACGAGAUUAACCAUCUCGUGCCUCAUAUGUGUCCGAGAUGAUCUGGAUGCAACACUUGUCUAGAAUCCAGCAGGCAGCUGGGUUAAAAGGUAAUGUAAAAAAAAAAAGCUGGGUUAGGAUCAUGCACGGUGAUGUUGAUGCCAGUGAUGUGAUAAUGUUGAGAUAAGUACUGUGGUUAACUGGGGGUUGAUAAUAUCUAAUGGUAAUAGACUUGCUGCUUGUCAUGAGUGAGUCCUCGAUUGUAUGGAUAAGAUCUUUGUCCAAAUCAAAAACUAAAAAAAGAAAUGAAAGAAAAAGAAAAUGCACGUACACUGGCUCAUUAAUUUGGUAGACUAUUCUGGACGAUGUUCGUUUUCUUGAACACAUCUGCUGCAAUUUGAGAGUUGGGUGAUGAAAGGGUGAGUGGUCCUGGAGAAUAGACCGGUGAUGCUGUUCACUCCACACAUGUAAAGGGAACAAAAACUUCGUUUUUAAUUUAAGUAGUUAUACCUGAAUCCUGAUAGACCGUAAAUUGUGCCAAUGAUAGAUUUGGUAAGAACAGUUCCUCCUAGUGGAAUAUUCAUAUGCUUCAUGGGGUACAUGCUAUUCUGCAACAAUUGCAUAUUGAAAAGGGGAUUAUCUUAAUCUAAUUAUUAUUGGAUGGAUAUGCAGCUUUUCACAAGGAAAAUAAGUUGAAGUACUUCCUUUGUGUGCUUCAAACUUUUUCAAGAGAUGGCAUCUUGCAUGAACCCACAGUCAUUCUUGUCAGUAUUUGAAUAAAAGAAUGCCAUAUGGAUGCUCGCACUAUUACCUGAAAGUACUCCACUCUGAUGCUCUGUUAGUUGAAGUCCAGCCUAAGCAUAUUCUGGUCAUUCUAUUCAGUAGCUUGCGUUAUGCCUUUCAGUUCUUUUUUUUUUUUUGGUUAGUAUUUCCUCAUUCAUAAAUGGAAAUAAAAAAGUAAGUUCAGAUUCAGAUCUGUAAGUAGAGGUUUCUGAAUACUACAUCAUUGCUUUAGUCAAUUAUACCUUUUAUAUACAAUAUCUACUUAGGUUAGAUGUGUUGAGCUAUUCCUAACUUCCAUUUAUCGUCGACAGUUAAUUAUACUACUUGUAGGAUGUGUAUUUUUUUAAGGAUGCAUUGAGCGACAGUGGUAUACUUCAUGGGCUUCUAAACCGUGCGAGCUUCAGAAAAGAACUUUUUAUAUAUAUAAUUUUUUUAAAAUAUUUUAAAUCUACUUUUAACAUUAUAAUAGUUAAUUCAUUUAUUUUUACUCUCGUAAUAGUGAUUAUUCAAUCAACUAUUCAGUCAUUCAGUUAUUCGGCGAAAAAACUGACCCACAUAUCCUAGUAGUAAUUUAUAUUCCAUUCAAUAAAAGAUCACAUUCUCCUCUGUAAAGAAACCGGAGGGAGUACAUCAUUUUUACAUACUAUUAACUUAUUAUCCAUUUAUUACAAACAACACAUUAUUCUCUGUAAUGGAAAACAAAAUCUGCAUCCUGAAUUUCUCAUAAUGUUCACUGUUACCUCGUCGUAUGCAACAAAAAGAUGGCAUUUACCAGUUUCCUCUUGGACAGCACAAAACAAAACAAAGCAAAGUUGCUCACUAGUAGCAAAAAAAAAAAGAAAGAAAGAAAGAAAAAGAAGAAAGUAUAUAUAAAUCCAGCUCAAGGAGAUGCGGUUGCGGCAAUGAUUGAUUGAUUUGUAUUAGCCCCCUUCCACUCUCGCGUUUUCUCCCCUUCUCUGCGUGUUUUUGUGGACGACGGCGUCGUCGCAAGCUUCUUGUGGCCAUCGUCUUCCCCCCCUCUCCUCCUUCCUCGCAUCCUCUCCUCCCUAUCUCUCACAAAAAU
rnacentral:lncRNA from 1 species